rnacentral:lncRNA from 1 species
UUUUUUUUGGUUUGUUCAGAUUUGCACGGCAGUGCACUUCAACCUGGUGGUGCCCCUAUGUCAUUCAUGUUUUUUGGCUCUUUUAGUUUUUAAUAUGUUGUACUUGUAAGGUGUGGUUCCCUUCUAUUUUUGAACGGGGCAAACACAUUAAAAAAGGCCAGUCUGAAUGGCCCCUAACCGGCCAUUCACAUCGCGGAUGCUUGCAGUCCAGCCUUGCAGUUUGCGGACAUGGCCAUGGCAUGAAGUUUGGUUAGAGCAGGCAUGAGGUUCGGCCAGACCAUGGGUGCAUUUUUUUAGUGUAUCCGCCUCACGCUAUUUUUAUGUGUUUGCAAUGCAAAAGAGAAAAAAGAUGUAGUACGCUUGCCUUGCUUCAGUGUCACAUAGCCGCAUUUAUUUUGCAUAUGAGAUAGUGCACUCUGUUUCGCUCAUGUGUUUCAAAGCUUGGUGCUGAAUGUGUUUUGUCCUCCGAUGUGGUUCACUUUUAAAGUGUGACAUGAAAAGUGUGAAAAAUUUAGCGAAACAACAAGAUAUUAAUGUGGUUCGUUUUGAUAUAUGUCGUGUUUCACUUGUCCCCAUCUCUGCGGUCCACUCUCUUUCAUAAGGAAAGUUGAAAAGAAAACAACAAAAACUUGCAAAAACUCAUCCGAGAAAAAUGUACGUCCGACAAAAUAAAUUAUGCAGCUCGCUUGCCCGUCCGACGCAGUGCGGUUUUCAUUCAGAAGCAGUGCGGUCGGCGGUAUGAUGUUGUUCAUCCCGUAAGCGAAAAAAAGUAAUGCGGUUCACUUUUUGGUACUGUUGUGGUUCAUUUACACCCGAUGUGAAGUGCACUCUACUUUUUCGUUCUUCAAAAAAUCACGUUUGAAUAAAAGAAACCAUGCAGUUCUCUUACCUGUGUGAUGCAGUGCGGUUUUUCGUCCGUUGCAGUGCGGUUUUCAGUCGGAUGAAGUACCCACGUCGAUUUGGGUGUCGCGAAAAACAGAGUGUCCGCAUUUCGAUAAAUUCGACAUUCCUCUUAAACCGUAAAGAAUUAGAGAGAGUGUUCUACAUGAAAGAGUUGCGUAUCGUCGAUAUCUUUCCAACGGUGUAUCAUUUGAAUCAUUCCGACCAGCGUUUGCAAAAAUUUCGUCAAAAACGGCCGCUGUCACUCGUCGUCCGCCGCACGAAUUUCAAAAUUAACUUAAAACCGUAACGAAUUUCAAAAAUAUUUCAACAUAUGACAGUUGCGCCUCGUUCAUAGCUUUCCAACGGCGUAUCACACGCUUUGUUUCGACAAACGGUUCAAAAACUGGAGCAAAAGCAGUACCAAAAAUUUGAAAAAAAUUGAAAAACAGAAUUCCGCGAUUUAGUAAAUUUGAAACUGCUCUUAAAUCGUAAGGAAUUGGAGAAAAAUUUAUAUAUGAAAAAGAUGCGCCUAUACGAUAUCUAUCCAAUGGCUUAUCGUUUGCUUCAUUCCGACGAGCGGUUUAGAAGAAAUCGCGAAAAAACGCUCGGUGCCACUCGUCAUGGGCCGCACUAUUUUUAAUACUGCUCUUAAACCGUGUGGAAUCUUGAAAAGUGUUCAACAUGUCGAAGUUGCGCCUAAUCCAUAGCUUUUCAACGGUAUAUUACUCGCCUCAUUCCGAUAAACGGUUAAUUUUCGGUACUGUUUUCGCUUUAAUUUUUUAACCGUUUCAAUACUCACACGAGUGAACUUCUCGUCGGAAAAAAACUGCACGCGUUAUUUUUUCGGUACUUUUUUUGCUCUAAUUUUUUAACCGUUUCACACGAGUGAACUUCUCGUCGGAAACACUACACACGUUAUUUUUUUUGGUACUGUUUUCGCUCUAAUUUUUUAACUGUUUAACGGAAUGAGGCGUGUAAUAUACCAUUGAAAAGUUAUGGAUUAGGGGCAACUUCGACAUGUUGAACACUUUUCGAGAUUCCAGACGGUUUAAGAGCAGUUUUGAAAAUGGUGCGACCCAUGACGAGUGGCAGCGAGCGUUUUUUUCGCAAUUUGUUCUAAAACGCUCGUCGGAAUGAGGCAAACGAUACGCCGUUGGAUAGAUAUCGUCGAGGUGCAUCUUUUUCAUAUAUAAAGUUUUCUCUAAUUCCUUAAGGUUUAAGAGCAGUUUCAAAUUUACUAAAUCGCGGAAUUCUGUUUUUCAAAUUUUUUCAAAUUUUCGGUACUGUUUUCUCUCCAGUUUUUGAACCGUUUGUCAAAACGAGGCGUGUGAUACACCGUUGGAAAGCUAUGAACGAGGCGCAACUUCCAUAUGUUGAAAUAUUUUUAAAAUUCCUUAUGGUUUCAAGUUAAUUAUGAAAAUCGUACGGCGGACGACGAGUGGCAGCGGCCAUUUUUGGCGAAAUUUUUGCACACCGCUGGUCGGAAUGAUUCAAACGAUACGCCGUUGGAAAGAUAUCGAUGAUACGCAACUCUUUCCUGUAUAACACUCUCUCUAAUUCUUUACGGUUUAAGAGGAAUUUCGAAUUUACCAAAAUGCGGACGCUCUGUUUUUCGCGACACCCAAAUCGACGUGGGUACUUCAUCCGACUGAAAACCGCACUGCAACGGACGAAAAACCGCACUGCAUCACACGGGUAAGAGAACCGCAUGGUUUCUUUUAUUCAAACGUGAUUUUUUUCAAGAACAAAAAAGUAGAGUGCACUUCACAUCGGGUGUAAAUGAACCACAACAGUACCAAAAAGUGAACCGCAUUACUUUUUUUUGCUUUCGUAACAAUUUUUUGCACUUACGGGAUGAACAACAUCAUACGGCCGACCGCACUGCUUCAGAAUGAAAACCGCACUGCAUCGGACGGGUAAGCGAGCGGCAUAAUUUCUUUUGUCGGACGUUAUUUUUCUCAUACGAGUUUUUGUUGUCUUUUUUUCACUUUUUUUAUGAACGAGUGGACCGCAAAGACUAGUGCAAGUGAACCACAUCAUAUAUCGAAGUGAACCCGCAUUAACAUCUUGUUGUUUCGCUAAAUUUUUCACACUUUCAUGUUAGGUGCAAGGGAACAGCAUCAAUCUCAAAAGUGAACCACAUCGGAGGACCAAAAUGCACCGCAAAUGUUGAUGUGGUUGACAGAAUUUCGAGACACACAAAACAAAUUGCACUUCAUACAGAGAGGUAAUGAGCUGCUACACAAAUGGAUUGAACUGAUUUUUUCAAUCAUCCCAAAAACAAAACAAAUUGAGUUUGAAAAAGAACUACACGAAAUAGGUAGCCGAGCCGCACACGCGCGCAAACUGAGCUUCACGCCGCUUGGGCCAAACGAAGCGCACGUCCAUAAAGAACGUACUGCUCCCCAAAACGAACAUAUAUGUGGUAGUCGACAGAGAACUAUGUGUUGUUCCGCAAGAGCACCACCGACGACCCACGAGAACUGCAAAGAUGAGAAAAGUAAACAACGUGAAAAGAAAAGGGAGCUGCACCCGUGAGAAAAAUGAUCUGGCCAUUAAAAAACACUAGCGCCAAGCGCUCUGAAACGCAUACAAGCAUCAUAGGCAACCGAACCAUUUGGAGAUCCCUGGGGAACUGCACCGGUGGCUCAACGCCUUUUUCCUGCUCCAACUAGUACGACGUUGCCUCAGGAAGGGUAAAAGCAACAAGUGAACUUCAAGAUGUCGUGAGACAAACUGGGAGAGAACCAACGAGCUGCACACUCACACGCUGGUGAGCUGCAAGCUCUGUAGGAAGGGAGGGGUGGUGGUGUCGCGUGCUGGAGGUCGCUGUGUCCCGAGAGGAGCACGGUCUCCUCGUCGGGGAUAGGAAUGGAGCCCGGGCCACCCGUCGCUGGAUGGACCGCGUCAAGGUGUCCUCGGCUCAGAGCAAGGAGAAAGCACGACUGGAUCCGAGCACACGAUGAAGGACCGCGGCGGUGCUGCCCGGUGGAUCUAACAUGCAGUGCUCCCCCUUCAUGACUACACACCCCUGCCAAUGUAGAAGGAGGAGGUCAAUGGUGGACGAGCCGGGCCUGACAAACUUCGAGGCGGGCUGAGGAGAGCAGGCCAGUGACCUCAUGCAGGACUGACGAGAGGAGGCCGGCGGGGACAUCCGCCACCCAGAUCCGGGUGGGGAGGAUUCAUGGCGACACGGCGAUCUCGAAAUCCGGGUACACCAGGAGAGAACAGCGGCGUGGAGACGGAAGGCCAACGGGUGCAGUGCUACUGGAUCCGGCGGCAACGGGGUCCGGCGAUGGUGGUGGUGAUUGCCGUGGCUGGGGAGGCCGCCUUGCGAUGCGAAGAAGGGCGGAGCAGGCCGGCGGGCGACAGCGCCGGUGGAAGGUGGACGGAGGGUGAGGCGGCACGGCGGCGGCCUAGGGUGGUGCUCCGGCGGCGGUCGCGGUAUAAGGUUGACAGGGGUGGGGCGGCACGGCGGCGGGUGGGCCGACCUCCCGCACGUCCGUCGGAGCUGGGAGAGAGGGAAGUGGGGCGGUUCGCAGGAGGUGUCGCCGGAGCAGGUGGGGGCGCCGCCGCCGCCGCCGGGGGANNNNNNNNNNNNNNNNNNNNNNNNNNNNNNNNNNNNNNNNNNNNNNNNNNNNNNNNNNNNNNNNNNNNNNNNNNNNNNNNNNNNNNNNNNNNNNNNNNNNNNNNNNNNNNNNNNNNNNNNNNNNNNNNNNNNNNNNNNNNNNNNNNNNNNNNNNNNNNNNNNNNNNNNNNNNNNNNNNNNNNNNNNNNNNNNNNNNNNNNNNNNNNNNNNNNNNNNNNNNNNNNNNNNNNNNNNNNNNNNNNNNNNNNNNNNNNNNNNNNNNNNNNNNNNNNNNNNNNNNNNNNNNNNNNNNNNNNNNNNNNNNNNNNNNNNNNNNNNNNNNNNNNNNNNNNNNNNNNNNNNNNNNNNNNNNNNNNNNNNNNNNNNNNNNNNNNNNNNNNNNNNNNNNNNNNNNNNNNNNNNNNNNNNNNNNNNNNNNNNNNNNNNNNNNNNNNNNNNNNNNNNNNNNNNNNNNNNNNNNNNNNNNNNNNNNNNNNNNNNNNNNNNNNNNNNNNNNNNNNNNNNNNNNNNNNNNNNNNNNNNNNNNNNNNNNNNNNNNNNNNNNNNNNNNNNNNNNNNNNNNNNNNNNNNNNNNNNNNNCCUAUUAGCACCUCUAAGAGACUGAGUCGGCAGAUUAUCUUGAGAUUGACGAAGUUGCCACAUACGCCUAUGUAGUCGACGGGAACGUCUCCUCCCGCCGAACGCACAUUGCCAAAAGGUCUGCAAUAAAUCCAGAAAAAUGCGAGCACCAAUGUUAAGUCUGGGACUUGUACUCGGAUGGGCAAGGGAUACAAUGUCCUCUUAACCAUCCAAUAGUAGGUAUUUUUUACUGUUUGGGUCAACCAUCCAACUAUGUUUGUCCAACACUUGAUGGCUUAUGUGUCACUUACUCGCUAAACUAAAACCACGACAUUUAUUUUUGAUCAGACGGACUACUUUUUUGCGAGAAAAAAAGGAUUGCAUGCCGCUCAUGUAUAACUUGUACGAGGGAAAUUAAUGAUGCGGCCAACUAUAUUCACGCCUAUCAAAGUGAUGGACCAUCGCACACCCGCACGGUCACCGCCAGCUUGGCCCAUCACCGCCUCCUCUGUGUCACAUGGCUGGAUGGGCGCCGUUAAUUCACCACCAUGCCGCAUGCCCAGCCCAUUUCUCCAUCUUUCUCCCAUUCUUGCCUGUCAGUACGCGCGAGCCAUCACCGCCUCCUUCGCACCACACGGUUGCACAGACACUCAGACUAUCACCUACUCAUCCGCGUCAUAUGGUUACACGGGUGCUAGUCCAUCAACGCCUUCUCCACACCACACAGUUGCACAGGCGCCCAACCAACACCGCCUCCUCUGCACCACAAGGCUGCACGGGCUUUGCCUGUCCACCACCAGGCCGACACCCCGCCCAUCUCUCCAUCUUUCUCCCCUUCUUUUGUGUGGUAAUUAACGUCGAACGACGACAACGCUUGGGGCCUAGAGGAGCAGGCGACAAAGUAGGCUGCCAUGACUAGCAUUGGCGCUGGACAUGGACGGCUGUCGUCUUUGGAACUUGAUCGGCUUUAUCACCACACCAUGGUCCACAAGGCCUGCAGUACAACUCCCGGUACCUCCUUCCUCUCCCUCUGCAAUCCUUUCUUUCACACCUUGAUCCAAAUUCAAUCUCGCUCGCUUCGGGGCUAAACAAGUAGUACAUUAUACUAGGAUUUUAUCUCACAUUGUAAGGUUUCAACAUGAAAUCCCCAUGCUUCACUGCUUGACUACCAUGUCUGUACUUGUGGAUUAAAAACCUCAGGCAGUUUAUACAUGACAUGCUUUAUGCCGCCUCUGUUUCACAAUGUAGUGCAUAUUAGUUUUUUCAAAAGUCAAAUAUGUCCUUGUUUGAUGAAGUGUCUAGAAUAAACUAUCUAUAUCCUAAGUACUAAAUAAAUAAACUAUAAAAGUACAUGUGGAUGUUGAUUUUUUUAAACUUGGUCAAACAUGAUACGCUUGACUUUUCAAAACAAAGUAUGUACUAUAUUUUAGAAUAGAGGGGGUAUUAGUUAGCAUAUGGUGCCACGCCUACGGAGCACGGUUUCUAACAUAACUUAAUAGGCACUAAAACAAUAGACAAGAUGAUAACUAGGUUUCUAUGUGGAGAUAAUUUGAUUAAUUGUCACGGGGUCACUUAUGUACACAGCUGACCAGACCUUAUGAAUGUAUCAGUAAUGCUAACAUUCAAAUAAAAACUGAGAUCAAUCACUUGUAGUAUUAUUUAUCUAUCCUCCCACUUCCGGCUCUUCCUCUUAGAUGCCGCUAUAAACAUGCUUCAUUCCCUUUCCUGUCGUUAGUCAGUGCAAAGCAUUGCUUUUAUUUCAAAUAUGUUUUUUAUUUUGAUUCUAACUACGCAUUUGAAUGAUCGAUAUUCAAAACCUAGAAGCCAUAUACUUUCGUGCAAUGCUGCAACUUCCCAGUAUUUCACACUUCCACUAUGUGUUUACCGUUAUUGCAAACCAUUAUUGUUGGUGUUUUGUAUUAUUUGUAUGUGAAGGUUAUCAAAUAUUGGUUGGUCAAAUCAUAGAGUUGUAUGAUUGUUUUAGAUGAAUACUACAAUCGGAAACCUCGGUUACGCAUAUCAUAGUUUUGAAUUAGUUUUGCGGAUGAAUAUUAUCUUCUCCAUCCACUAUUUUGGAUAUGUUUUUGGCAGUGCUGCUAACAUAUAUCAUUUUUGUGAAGAACAAUAGUCGUAAAAAAGUGAGUAAUAUCCUACCAACUAGAUGAUGAUGUGUCUUAGGAUCCAAACAUAUCCUGCAAUGCAAUAAAGGGUGUGUUGGGGAACGUAGCAGAAAUUCAAAAAAUUUCCUACGUAACACCAAGAUCUAUCUAUGGAGAGACCAGCAACAAGUAGAAAGGAGAGUGCAUCUACAUACCCUUGUAGAUCGCUAAGCGGAAGCGUUCAAGUGAACGGGGUUGAUGGAGUCGUACUCGUCGUGAUUCAGAUCACCGAUGAUCCUAGUGCCGAACGGACGGCACCUCCGCGUUCAACACACGUACAGCUCGACGAUGUCUCCCACGCCUUGAUCCAGCAAGGAGAGAGGGAGAGGUUGAGGAAGACUCCAUCCAGCAGCAGCACAACGGCGUGGUGGUGAUGGAGGAGCGUGGCAAUCCUGCAGGGCUUCGCCAAGCACCUACGGGAGAGGAGGAGGUGUCACGGGAGGGAGGGAGGCGCCAGGGGCUCAGGUAUGGAUGCCCUCCCUCCCGUCCACUAUAUAUAGGGGCAGGGGAGAAGGGGGAGGCGCAGCCUUGCCCCUUCCUCCAAGGAAAGGGUGCGGCUAAGAGGGGGGAAGGAGUCCAUCCUCCCCAAGGCACCUCGGAGGUGCCUUCCCCCUUUAGGACUCUCCCCUUUUUCCUAUAUCUUGGCGCAUGGGCCUCUAGGGGCUGGUGCCCUUGGCCCAUGUAGGCCAAGGCGCACCCCCUACAGCCCAUGUGCCCCCCCGGGGCAGGUGGCCCCACCCGGUGGGCCCCCGGGACCCUUCCGGUGGUCCCGGUACAAUACCGAUGACCCCGAAACUUGUCCCGAUGGCCGAAACAGGACUUCCUAUAUAUAAAUCUUUACCUCCGGACCAUUCCGGAACUCCUCGUGACGUCCGGGAUCUCAUCCGGGACUCCGAACAACAUUCAGUAACCACAUACAAACUUCCUUUAUAACCCUAGCGUCAUCGAACCUUAAGUGUGUAGACCCUACGGGUUCGGGAGACAUGUAGUCAUGACCGAGAUGUUCUCCGGUCAAUAACCAACAGCGGGAUCUAGAUACCCAUGUUGGCUCCCACAUGUUCCACGAUGAUCUCAUCGGAUGAACCUCGAUGUCAAGGACUCAAUCAAUCCCGUAUACAAUUCCCUUUGUCUAGCGGUAUGGUACUUGCCCGAGACUCGAUCGUCGGUAUACCGAUACCUUGUUCAAUCUCGUUACCGGCAAGUCUCUUUAAUCGUUCCGUAACACAUCAUCCCGUGAUCAACCCCUUGGUCACAUUGUGCACAUUAUGAUGAUGUCCUACCGAGUGGGCCCAGAGAUACCUCUCCGUUUACACGGAGUGACAAAAUCCCAAUCUCGAUUCGUGCCAACCCAACAGACACUUUCAGAGAUACCCGUAGUGUACCUUUAUAGACACCCAGUUACGUUGUGACGUUUGGCACACCCAAAGCACUCCUACGGUAUCCGGGAGUUGCACAAUCUCAUGGUCUAAGGAAAUGAUACUUGACAUUAGAAAAGCUUUAGCAUACGAACUACAUGAUCUUGUGCUAGGCUUAGGAUUGGGUCUUGUCCAUCACAUCAUUCUCCUAAUGAUGUGAUCCCGUUAUCAACGACAUCCAAUGUCCAUGGUCAGGAAACCGUAACCAUCUAUUGAUCAACGAGCUAGUCAACUAGAGGCUUACUAGGGACAUGGUGUUGUCUAUGUAUCCACACAUGUAUCUGAGUUUCCUAUCAAUACAAUUCUAGCAUGGAUAAUAAACGAUUAUCAUGAACAAGGAAAUAUAAUAAUAAUCAAUUUAUUAUUGCCUCUAGGGCAUAUUUCCAACAGUCUCCCACUUGCACUAGAGUCAAUAAUCUAGUUCAUAUCGAUAUGUGAUUAACACUCAAGGUCACAUCCCCAUGUGACUAACACCCAAAGAGUUUACUAGAUUCAAUAAUCUACUUCACAUUUACCAUGUGAUUAACACUCGAUGAGUUCUGGGUUUGAUCAUGUUAUGCUUGUGAGAGAGGUUAUAGUCAACGGGUCUGAACCUUUCAGAUCCGUGUUUGCUUUACAAAUCUCUAUGUCAUCUCCUAGAUGCAGCUACCACGUUCUAUUUAGAGCUAUUCCAAAUAACUGUUCUACUUGGAGCUAUUCUAAAUUGUUGCUCCAUUAUACGUAUCCUGUAUCUCUACUCAGAGCUAUCCGGAUUGGUGUUAAGCUUGCAUCAACGUAACCCUUUACGACGAACUCUUUUACCACCUCCAUAAUUGAGAAAAUUCCUUAGUCCACUAGUUACUAAGGAUAACUUUGACCGCUGUCCUGUGAUCCAUUCUUGGAUCACUCUUGUACCCCUUGACUGACUCAUGGUAAAGCAUACUUCAGGUGCGGUACACAGCAUAGCAUACUGUAGAGCCUAUGUCUUAAGCAUAGGGGACGACCUUCGUUCCUUUCUCUCUAUUCUGCCAUGGUCGAGCUUUAAGUCUUAACUUCAUACCUUACAACUCAGGCAAGAACUCCUUCUUUGACUGAUCCAUCUUGAACACCUUCAAGAUCACGUCAAGGCAUGUGCUCAUUCAAAAGUACUAUUAAGCGUUUUGAUCUAUCCUUAUAGAUCUUGAUGCUCAAUGUUCAAGUAGCUUAAUCCAGGUUUUCCAUUGAAAACACUUUCCAAAUAACCCUAUAUGCUUUCCAGAAAUUCUACGUCAUUUCUGAUCAUUAAUAUGUCAACAACAUAUACUCAUCAGAAAUUCUAUAGUGCUCCCACUCACUUCUUUGGAAAUACAAGUUUCUCAUAAACUUUGUAUACACCCAAAAUCUUUGAUCAUCAUCAAAGCAUACAUUCCAACUCCGAGAUGCUCACUCCAGUCCUCAGAAGGAUUGCUGGAGCUUUGCAUUAGCAUAUUUCAGGAUAGACAAAACCUUCCGGUUGUAUCACAUACAACCUUUCCUCAAGAAUCAUCGAGGAAACAAUGUUUUGACAUCCUAUCUGCAAGAUUUCAUAAAUAAUGCAGUAAUUGCUAAUAUAAUUCCAACAGACUCUUAGCAUCGCUACGAGUGAGAAAGUCUCAUCGUAGUCAACUCCUUGAACUUGUCGAAAAACAUCUUAACGACAAGUCGAGCUUUCUCAAUGGUGACACUUACCAUCAUUGUUUGUCUUCCUUUCAAAAUCCAUAUGUACCUAACAGCCUUACGACCAUCAAGUAGUUCUUCCAAAGUCUACACUUUGUUUUCAUACAUGGAUCCUCUCUCGGGUUUUAUGGCCUUGAGCCAUUUAUCGGAAUCCGGGCCCACCAUCGCUUCUCCAUAGCUCGUAGGUUCAUUGUUGUCUAGCAACAUGACUUCCAAGACAGGAUUACGUACCACUCUGAAGUAGUACGCAUCCUUGUCAUCCCACGAGGUUUGGUAGUGACUCGAUCCGAAGUUUCAUGAUCACUAUCAUAAGCUUCCACUUCAGUUGGUGUACGUGCCACAGGAACAACUUCCUGUGCCCUGCUACAUACUUGUUGAAGUGACGGUUCAAUAACCUCAUCAAGUCUCCACCAUCCUCCCACUCAACUUUUCGAGAGAAACCUUUCCUCGAAAAAGGACCCGAUUCAAGAAAUAAUCCCUAUUGCUUUCGGAUCUGAAUUAGGAGGUAUACCCAACUGUUUUGGGGUGUCCUAUGAAGAUGCAUUUUAUCUGCUUUGGGUUCAAGCUUAUCAACCUGAAACCUUUUCACAUAAGCGUCGCAGCCCCAAACUUUCAAGAAACGGCAACUUAGGUUUCUCCAAACCAUAGUUCAUACGGUGUCGUCUCAACGAAAUUAUGUGGUGCCCUAUUUAAAGUGAAUGUGGUUGUCUCUAAUGCCUAACCCAUGAACGAUAGUGGUAACUCGAUAAGAGACAUCAUGGUAUGCACCAUAUCCAAUAGGGUGCAACUAUGACGUUUGGACACACCAUCACACUAUGGUGUUCCAGGCUGUAUCAGUUGUGAAACAAUUUCCACAAUGUUUUAAUUCUGUGCCAAACUCGUGAUUCAGAUAUUCAUCUCUAUGAUCAUAUCAUAGAUCUUUUAUCCUCUUGUCACGACGAUCUUUCAACUUCACACUGAAAUCACUUGAACCUUUCAAUAAUUCAGACUCGUGAUUCAUCAAGUAAAUAUACUCAACAUCUACUCGAAUCAUCUGUGAAGUAAGAACAUAACGAUAUUCACUGCAUGCCUCAGCACUCAUUGGACUGCACACAUCAAAAUGUGUUACUUCCAACAAGUUGCUUUCCUUUUCCAUCUUACUGAAAACGAGGCUUUUCAGUCAUCUUGCCCAUGUGGUAUGAUUUGCAUGUCCCAAGUGAUUCAAAAUCAAGUGAGUCAAAACGGUCCAUUUGCAUGGAGUUUCUUCAUGCAUAUACACCAAUAGACAUGGUUCGCAUGUCUCAAACUUUUCAAAAACGAGUGAGCCCAAAGAUCCAUCAAUAUGGAGCUUCUUCAUGCGUUUUAUACCGAUAUGACUUACAUGGCAGUGCCACCAGUAAGUGGUACUAUCAUUACUAUCUUUUGGCAUGAAAAUGUGUAUCACUACGAUCGAGAUUCAAUAAACCACUCAGGUUUAAUACUAAUCUUGAUGGUAGAGGGAACGUGCGAUGGUUGAUUACAUCAAACUUUGAAACACUUCCAACAUAUAUCGUCAGCUCACCUUUAGCUAGUCUCCGUUUAUUCCGUAGCUUUUAUUUCGAGUUACUAACACUUAGCAACCGAACCGGUAUCUAAUACCCUGGUGCUACUAGGAGUACUAGCAAAGUACACAUUAACACAAUGUAUAUCCAAUAUACUUCUAUCGACCUUGCCAGCCUUCUUAUCUACCAAGUAUCUAGGGUAAUUCUGCUCUAGUGGUUGUUCCCCUUAUUACAGAAGCACUUAGUCUCGGGUUUGGGUUUUACCUUGGGUUUCUUCACUAGAGCAGCAGCUGAUUUGCCGUUUCAUGAAGUAUCCCUUCUUGCCCUUGCCCUUCUUGAAACUAGUGGUUUCACCAACCAUCAACAAUUGAUGCUCCUUCUUGAUUUCUACUUUCGCGGUGUCAAACAUCGCGAAUACCUCAAGGAUCAUCAUAUCUAUCCCUGAUAUGUUAUAAUUCAUCACGAAGCUCUAACAGCUUGGUGGCAAUGACUUUGGAGAACCAUCACUGUCUUAUCUGGAAGAUCAACUCCCACUCGAUUCAAAUGAUUGUUGUACUCAGACAAUCUGAGCACAAGCUCAACAAUUGAGCUUUUCUCCUUAGUUUGCAGGUUAAGAAAGUCAUCGGAGGUCUUAUACCUCUUGACAUGGGCACGAGCCUGAAAUCCCAAUUUCAGCCCUCAAAACAUCUCAUAUGUUUCGCGAUGUUUCAAAAACGUCUUUGGUGCCUCAACUCUAAACCGUUUAACUGAACUAUCACGUAGUUAUCAAAACGUGUAUGUCAGAUGUUCACAACAACCACAGACAACGUUCGAGGUUCAGCACACUGAGCGGUGCAUUAAGGACAUAAGCCUUCUAUGAAGCAAUGAGGACAAUCCUCAGUUUACGGACCUAGUCCGCAUAAUUGCUACUAUCAACUUUCAACUAAUUUUUCUCUAGGAACAUAUCUAAACAGUAGAACUAUAGCGUGAGCUACGACAUAAUUUGCAAAAUCCUUUUGACUAUGUUCAGGAUAAUUAAGUUCAUCUUAUGAACUCCCACUCAGAUAGACAUCCCUCUAGUCAUCUAAGUGAUUACAUGACCCGAGUCAAACUAGGCCGUGUCCGAUCAUCACGUGAGACGGACUAGUCAUCAUCGGUGAACAUCUUCAUGUUGAUCGUAUCUUCUAUACGACUCAUGCUCGACCUUUCGGUCUCCGUAUUCCGAGGCCAUGUCUGUACAUGCUAGGCUCGUCAAGUUAACCCUAAGUGUUUUGCGUGUGUUCCGAGGCCAUGUCUGUACAUGCUAGGCUCGUCAACACCCGUUGUAUUUGAACGUCUGAAUAAAACACCCGAUCAUCACGUGAUGUUUUGAAACAGCAAACUGUCGCAACGGUGCACAGUUAGGGGAGAACACUUCUUGAAAUUGUUGUAAGGGAUCAUCUUAUUUACUACCGUCGUUCUAAGCAAAUAAGAUGCAUAAACAUGAUAAACAUCACAUGCAAUCAAAUAGUGACAUGAUAUGGCCAUCAUCACUUUGCUCCUUUUGAUCUUCAUCUUCGGGGCUCCAUGAUCGUCAUCGUCACCGGCAUGACACCAUGAUCUCCAUCAUCAUGAUCUCCAUCAUCGUGUCUUCAUGAAGUUGCCUCGCCAACUAUUACUUCUACUACUAUGGCUAACGGUUAGCAAUAAAGUAAAGUAAUUACAUGACGUUUAAGUUGACACGCAGGUCACAAAUAAAUAAAGACAACUCCUAUGGCUCCUGCCGGUUGUCAUACUCAUCGACAUGCAAGUCGUGAUUCCUAUUACAAGAACAUGAUCAAUCUCAUACAUCACAUAUAUCAUUCAUCACAUCCUUUUUGGCCAUAUCACAUCACAUAGCAUACCCUGCAAAAACAAGUUAGACGUCCUCUAAUUGUUGUUUGCAUGUUUUACGUGGCUGCUAUGGGUUUCUAGCAAGAACGUUUCUUACCUACGCAUGAACCACAACGUGAUAUGCCAAUUGCUAUUUACCCUUCAUAAGGACCCUUUUCAUCGAAUCCAAUCCGACUAAAGUGGGAGAGACAGACACCCGCCAGCCACCUUAUGCAACUAGUGCAUGUUUGUCGGUGGAACCGGUCUCACGUAAGCGUACGUGUAAGGUUGGUCCGGGCCGCUUCAUCCCACGAUGCCGCCGAAUCAAGAUAAGACUAGUAACGGCAAGCAUAUUGAACAAUAUCGACGCCCACAACUACUUUGUGUUCUACUCGUGCAAAGAAUCUACGCAAUAGACCUAGCUCAUGAUGCCACUGUUGGGGAACGUAGCAGAAAUUCAAAAUUUUCCUACGCGUCACCAAGAUCUAUCUAUGGAGAGACCAGCAAUGAGUAGAAAGGAGAGUGCAUCUACAUACCCUUGUAGAUCGCUAAGCGGAAGCGUUCAAGUGAACGGGGUUGAUGGAGUCGUACUCGUCGUGAUUCAGAUCACCGAUGAUCCUAGUGCCGAACGGACGGCACCUCCGCGUUCAACACACGUACAGCUCGACGAUGUCUCCCACGCCUUGAUCCAGCAAGGAGAGAGGGAGAGGUUGAGGAAGACUCCAUCCAGCAGCAGCACAACGGCGUGGUGGUGAUGGAGGAGCGUGGCAAUCCUGCAGGGCUUCGCCAAGCACCUACGGGAGAGGAGGAGGUGUCACGGGAGGGAGGGAGGCGCCAAGGGCUCAGGUAUGGAUGCCCUUAACUUCGUACCUUACAACUCAGGCAAGAACUCCUUUUUUGACUGAUCCAUCUUGAACACCUUCAAGAUCACGUCAAGGCAUGUGCUCAUUUGAAAGUACCAUUAAGCGUUUUGAUCUAUCCUUAUAGAUCUUGAUGCUCAAUGUUCAAGUAGCUUAAUCCAGGUUUUCCAUUGAAAACACUUUCCAAAUAACCCUAUAUGCUUUCCAGAAAUUCUACGUCAUUUCUGAUCAUUAAUAUGUCAACAACAUAUACUCAUCAGAAAUUCUAUAGUGCUCCCACUCACUUCUUUGGAAAUACAAGUUUCUCAUAAACUUUGUAUACACCCUAAAUCUUUGAUCAUCAUCAAAGCAUACAUUCCAACUCCGAGAUGCUCACUCCAGUCCUCAGAAGGAUUGCUGGAGCUUUGCAUACUUAUUAGCAUAUUUCAGGAUAGACAAAACCUUCCGGUUGUAUCACAUACAACCUUUCCUCAAGAAUCGUCGAGGAAACAAUGUUUUGACAUCCUAUCUGCAAGAUUUCAUAAAUAAUGCAGUAAUUGCUAAUAUAAUUCCAACAUACUCUUAGCAUCGCUACGAGUGAGAAAGUCUCAUCGUAGUCAACUCCUUGAACUUGUCGAAAAACAUCUCAACGACAAGUCGACCUUUCUCAAUGGUGACACUUACCAUCAUUGUCUGUCUUCCUUUCAAAAUCCAUAUGUACCUAACAGCCUUAUGACCAUCAAGUAGUUCUUCCAAAGUCUACACUUUGUUUUCAUACAUGGAUCCUCUCUCGGGUUUUAUGGCCUUGAGCCAUUUAUCGGAAUCCAGGCCCACCAUCGCUUCUCCAUAGCUCGUAGGUUCAUUGUUGUCUAGCAACAUGACUUCCAAGACAGGAUUACUGUACCACUCUGAAGUAGUACGUAUCCUUGUCACCCUACGAGGUUUGGGAGUGACUUGAUCUGAAGUUUCAUGAUCACUAUCAUAAGCUUCUACUUCAAUUGGUGUAGGUGCCACAGGAACAACUUCCUGUGCCCUGCUACACACUGGUUGAAGUGAUGGUUCAGUAACCUCAUCAAGUCUCCACCAUCCUCCCACUCAAUUCUUUCGAGAGAAACCUUUCCUCGAGAAAGGACCCAAUUCUAGAAACAAUUCAUAUUGCCUUCGGAUCUGAAUUAGGAGGUAUACCCAACUGUUUUGGGUGUCCUAUGAAGAUGUACUUUAUCCGCUUUGGGUUCGAGCUUAAUCCUGAAACUUUUUCACAUAAGCGUCGCAGCCCCAAACCUUUAAGAAAUGACAACUUAGGUUUCUCUAAACCAUAAUUCAUACGGUGUCAUCUCAUCGGAAUUACGUGGUGCCCUAUUUAAAGUGAAUGUGGUUGUCUUUAAUGCCUAACCCAUAAACUAUCCUGGCAGUUCGAUAAGAGACAUCAUGGUAUGCAUCAUAUCCAAUAGGGUGCAACUAUGAUGUUCGGACACACCAUCACACUAUGGUGUUCCAGGCGGUAUUAAUUGUGAAACAAUUUCCACAAUGUCUUAAUUGUGUGCCAAAACUCGUAACUCAGAUACUCAUCUCUAUGAUCAUAUCAUAGACAUUUUAUCCUCUUGUCACAAUCUUCUACUUCACUCUGAAAUUACUUGAACCAUUCAAUAAUUCAGACUUGUGUUUCAUCAAGUAAAUAUUCUCAACAUCUACUCGAAUCAUCUGUGAAGUAAGAACAUAACGAUAUUCACUGCAUGCCUCAGCACUCAUUGGACUGCACGCAUCAAAAUGUGUUGCUUCCAACAAGUUGCUAUCUUGUUACAUCUUACUGAAAACGAGGCUUUUCAGUCAUCUUGCCCAUGUGGUAUGAUUUGCAUGUCCCAAGUGAUUCAAAAUCAAGUGAGUCAAAACGGUCCAUUUGCAUGGAGUUUCUUCAUGCAUAUACACCAAUAGACAUGGUUCGCAUGUCUCAAACUUUUCAAAAACGAGUGAGCCCAAAGAUCCAUCAAUAUGGAGCUUCUUCAUGCGUUUUAUACCGAUAUGACUUACGUGGCAGUGCCACAAGUAGGUGGUUCUAUCAUUACUAUCUUUUGGCAUGAACAUGUGUAUCACUACGAUCGAGAUUUAAUAAACCAUUCAUUUUAGGUGUAAGACCAUUGAAGGUAUUAUUCAAAUAAACAGAGUAACGAUUAUUCUCCUUAAAUGAAUAACCGUAUUGCGAUAGACGUAAUCCAAUCAUGUCUAUGCUCAACGCAAACACCAAACAACAAUUAUUUAGGUUUAACACCAAUCUCUUUGGUAGAGGGAGCGUGCGAUGCUUGAUCAUAUGAAGCUUGGAAAAACUUCCAACACAUAUCGUCAGCUCACCUUUAGCUAGUCUCCGUUUAUUCCGUAGCCUUUUGUUUCGAGUUACUAACACUUAGCAACCGAACCGGUAUCUAAUACCCUGGUGCUACUAGGAGUACUAGCAAAGUACACAUUAACACAAUGUAUAUCCAAUAUACUUCUAUCGACCUUGCCAGCCUUCUUAUCUACCAAGUAUCUAGGGUAAUUCUGCUCUAGUGGUUGUUCCCCUUAUUACAGAAGCACUUAGUCUCGGGUUUGGGUUUUACCUUGGGUUUCUUCACUAGAGCAGCAACUGAUUUGCCGUUUCAUGAAGUAUCCCUUCUUGCCCUUGCCCUUCUUGAAACUAGUGGUUCCACCAACCAUCAACAAUUGAUGCUCCUUCUUGAUUUCUACUUUCGCGGUGUCAAACAUCGCGAAUACCUCAAGGAUCAUCAUAUCUAUCCCUGAUAUGUUAUAGUUCAUCACGAAGCUCUAACAGCUUGGUGGCAAUGACUUUGGAGAACCAUCACUGUCUUAUCUGGAAGAUCAACUCCCACUCGAUUCAAAUGAUUGUUGUACUCAGACAAUCUGAGCACAAGCUCAACAAUUGAGCUUUUCUCCUUAGUUCGCAGGUUAAGAAAGUCAUCGGAGGUCUUAUACCUCUUGACAUGGGCACGAGCCUGAAAUACCAAUUUCAGCCCUCAAAACAUCUCAUAUGUUUCGCGAUGUUUCAAAAACGUCUUUGGUGCCUCAACUCUAAACCGUUUAACUGAACUAUCACGUAGUUAUCAAAACGUGUAUGUCAGAUGUUCGCAACAACCACAGACAACGUUCGAGGUUCAGCACACUGAGCGGUGCAUUAAGGACAUAAGCCUUCUAUGAAGCAAUGAGGACAAUCCUCAGUUUACGGACCUAGUCCGCAUAAUUGCUACUAUCAACUUUCAACUAAUUUUUCUCUAGGAACAUAUCUAAACAGUAGAACUAUAGCGUGAGCUACGACAUAAUUUGCAAAAACCUUUUGACUAUGUUCAGGAUAAUUAAGUUCAUCUUAUGAACUCCCACUUAGAUAGACAUCCCUCUAGUCAUCUAAGUGAUUACAUGAUCCGAGUCAAACUAGGCCGUGUCCGAUCAUCACGUGAGACGGACUAGUCAUCAUCGGUGAACAUCUUCAUGUUGAUCGUAUCUUCUAUACGACUCAUGUUCGACCUUUCGGUCUCCGUGUUCCGAGGCCAUGUCUGUACAUGCUAGGCUCGUCAAGUUAACCCUAAGUGUUUCGCGUGUGUUCCGAGGCCAUGUCUGUACAUGCUAGGCUCGUCAACACCCGUUGUAUUUGAACGUCUGAAUAAAACACCCGAUCAUCACGUGAUGUUUUGAAACAGCGAACUGUCGCAACGGUGCACAAUUAGGGGAGAACACUUCUUGAAAUUGUUGUAAGGGAUCAUCUUAUUUACUACCGUCGUUCUAAGCAAAUAAGAUGUAUAAACAUGAUAAACAUCACAUGCAAUCAAAUAGUGACAUGAUAUGGCCAUCAUCACUUUGCUCCUUUUGAUCUCCAUCUUCGGGGCUCCAUGAUCAUCAUCGUCACCGGCAUGACACCAUGAUCUCCAUCAUCAUGAUCUCCAUCAUCGUGUCUUCAUGAAGUUGCCUCGCCAACUAUUACUUCUACUACUAUGGCUAACGGUUAGCAAUAAAGUAAAGUAAUUACAUGACGUUUAAGUUGACACGCAGGUCACAAAUAAAUAAAGACAACUCCUAUGGCUCCUGCCGGUUGUCAUACUCAUCGACAUGCAAGUCGUGAUUCCUAUUACAAGAACAUGAUCAAUCUCAUACAUCACACAUAUCAUUCAUCACAUCCUUUUUGGCCAUAUCACAUCACAUAGCAUACCCUGCAAAAACAAGUUAGACGUCCUCUAAUUGUUGUUUGCAUGUUUUACGUGGCUGCUAUGGGUUUCUAGCAAGAACGUUUCUUACCUACGCAUGAACCACAACGUGAUAUGCCAAUUGCUAUUUACCCUUCAUACGGACCCUUUUCAUCGAAUCCGAUCUGACUAAAGUGGGAGAGACAGACACCCGCCAGCCACCUUAUGCAACUAGUGCAUGUUUGUCGGUGGAACCGGUCUCACGUAAGCGUACGUGUAGGGUUGGUCCGGGCCGCUUCAUCCCACGAUGCCGCCGAAUCAAGAUAAGACUAGUAACAGCAAGCAUAUUGAACAAUAUCGAUGCCCACAACUACUUUGUGUUCUACUCGUGCAAAGAAUCUACGCAAUAGACCUAGCUCAUGAUGCCACUGUUGGGGAACGUAGCAGAAAUUCAAAAUUUUCCUAUGUGUCACCAAGAUCUAUCUAUGGAGAGACUAGCAACGAGGGGAAGGAGAGUGCAUCUACAUACCCUUGUAGAUCGCUAAGCGGAAGCGUUCAAGUGAACGGGGUUGAUGGAGUCGUACUCGUCGUGAUUCAGAUCACCGAUGAUCCUAGUGCCGAACGGACGGCACCUCCGCGUUCAACACACGUACAGCUCGACGAUGUCUCCCACGCCUUGAUCCAGCAAGGAGAGAGGGAGAGGUUGAGGAAGACUCCAUCCAGCAGCAGCACAACGGCGUGGUGGUGAUGGAGGAGCGUGGCAAUCCUGCAGGGCUUCGCCAAGCACCUACGGGAGAGGAGGAGGUGUCACGGGAGGGAGGGAGGCGCCAAGGGCUCAGGUAUGGAUGCCCUCCCUCCCCUCCNNNNNNNNNNAGCAUACCCUGCAAAAACAAGUUAGACGUCCUCUAAUUGUUGUUUGCAUGUUUUACGUGGCUGCUAUGGGUUUCUAGCAAGAACGUUUCUUACCUACGCAUGAACCACAACGUGAUAUGCCAAUUGCUAUUUACCCUUCAUAAGGACCCUUUUCAUCGAAUCCGAUCUGACUAAAGUGGGAGAGACAGACACCCGCCAGCCACCUUAUGCAACUAGUGCAUGUUUGUCGGUGGAACCGGUCUCACGUAAGCGUACGUGUAAGGUUGGUCCGGGCCGCUUCAUCCCACGAUGCCGCCGAAUCAAGAUAAGACUAGUAACGGCAAGCAUAUUGAACAAUAUCGACGCCCACAACUACUUUGUGUUCUACUCAUGCAAAGAAUCUACGCAAUAGACCUAGCUCAUGAUGCCACUGUUGGGGAACGUAGCAGAAAUUCAAAAAAUUUCCUACGUAACACCAAGAUCUAUCUAUGGAGAGACCAGCAACGAGUAGAAAGGAGAGUGCAUCUACAUACCCUUGUAGAUCGCUAAGCGGAAGCGUUCAAGUGAACGGGGUUGAUGGAGUCGUACUCGUCGUGAUUCAGAUCACCGAUGAUCCUAGUGUCGAACGGACGGCACCUCCGCGUUCAACACACGUACAGCUCGACGAUGUCUCCCACGCCUUGAUCCAGCAAGGAGAGAGGGAAAGGUUGAGGAAGACUCCAUCCAACAGCAGCACAACGGCGUGGUGGUGAUGGAGGAGCGUGGCAAUCCUGCAGGGCUUCGCCAAGCACCUACGGGAGAGGAGGAGGUGUCACGGGAGGGAGGGAGGCGCCAGGGGCUCAGGUAUGGAUGCCCUCCCUCCCGUCCACUAUAUAUAGGGGCAGGGGAGAAGGGGGAGGCACAGCCUUGCCCCUUCCUCCAAGGAAAGGGUGCGGCUAAGAGGGGGGAAGGAGUCCAUCCUCCCCAAGGCACCUCGGAGGUGCCUUCCCCCUUUAGGACUCUCCCCUUUUUCCUAUAUCUUGGCGCAUGGGCCUCUAGGGGCUGGUGCCCUUGGCCCAUGUAGGCCAAGGCGCACCCCCUACAGCCCAUGUGGCCCCCCGGGGCAGGUGGCCCCACCCGGUGGGCCCCCGGGACCCUUCCGGUGGUCCCGGUACAAUACCGAUGACCCCGAAACUUGUCCCGAUGGCCGAAACAGGACUUCCUAUAUAUAAAUCUUUGCCUCCGAACCAUUCCGGAACUCCUCGUGACGUCCGGGAUCUCAUCCGGGACUCCGAACAACAUUCGGUAACCACAUACAAACUUCCUUUAUAACCCUAGCGUCAUCGAACCUUAAGUGUGUAGACCCUACGGGUUCGGGAGACAUGUAGUCAUGACCGAGAUGUUCUCCGGUCAAUAACCAACAGCGGGAUCUGGAUACCCAUGUUGGCUCCCACAUGUUCCACGAUGAUCUCAUCGGAUGAACCUCGAUGUCAAGGACUCAAUCAAUCCCGUAUACAAUUCUCUUUGUCUAGCGGUAUGGUACUUGCCCGAGAUUCGAUCGUCGGUAUACCGAUACCUUGUUCAAUCUCGUUACCGGCAAGUCUCUUUACUCGUUCCGUAACACAUCAUCCCGUGAUCAACCCCUUGGUCACAUUGUGCACAUUAUGAUGAUGUCCUACCGAGUGGGCCCAGAGAUACCUCUCCGUUUACACGGAGUGACAAAAUCCCAAUCUCGAUUCGUGCCAACCCAACAGACACUUUCAGAGAUACCCGUAGUGUACCUUUAUAGCCACCCAGUUACGUUGUGACGUUUGGCACACCCAAAGCACUCCUACGGUAUCCGGGAGUUGCACAAUCUCAUGGUCUAAGGAAAUGAUACUUGACAUUAGAAAAGCUUUAGCAUACGGACUACAUGAUCUUGUGCUAGGCUUAGGAUUGGGUCUUGUCCAUCACAUCAUUCUCCUAAUGAUGUGAUCCCGUUAUCAACGACAUCCAAUGUCCAUGGUCAGGAAACCGUAACCAUCUAUUGAUUAACGAGCUAGUCAACUAGAGGCUUACUAGGGACAUGGUGUUGUCUAUGUAUCCACACAUGUAUCUGAGUUUCCUAUCAAUACAAUUCUAGCAUGGAUAAUAAACAAUUAUCAUGAACAAGGAAAUAUAAUAAUAAUCAAUUUAUUAUUGCCUCUAGGGCAUAUUUCCAACAGUCUUCCACUUGCACUAGAGUCAAUAAUCUAGUUCACAUCGAUAUGUGAUUAACACUCAAGGUCACAUCCCCAUGUGACUAACACCCAAAGAGUUUACUAGAGUUAAUAAUCUAGUUCACAUUUACCAUGUGAUUAACACUCGAUGAGUUCUGGGUUUGAUCAUGUUAUGCUUGUGAGAGAGGUUAUAGUCAAUGGGUCUGAACCUUUCAGAUCCGUGUGUGCUUUACAAAUCUCUAUGUCAUCUCCUAGAUGCAGCUACCACGUUCUAUUUGGUGCUAUUCCAAAUAACUGUUCUACUUGGAGCUAUUCUAAAUUGUUGCUCCAUUAUACGUAUCCGGUAUCUCUACUCAGAGCUAUCCGGAUAGGUGUUAAGCUUGCAUCGACGUAACCCUUUACGACGAACUCUUUUACCACCUCCAUAAUUGAGAAAAUUCCUUAGUCCACUAGUUACUAAGGAUAACUUUGACCGCUGUCCUGUGAUCCAUUCUUGGAUCACUCUUGUACCCCUUGACUGACUCAUGGUAAAGCACACUUCAGGUGCGGUACACAGCAUAGCAUACUGUAGAGCCUAUGUCUUAAGCAUAGGGGACGACCUUCGUUCCUUUCUCUCUAUUCUGCCAUGGUCGAGCUUUAAGUCUUAACUUCAUACCUUACAACUCAGGCAAGAACUCCUUCUUUGACUGAUCCAUCUUGAACACCUUCAAGAUCACGUCAAGGCAUGUGCUCACGUCAAGAUCACGUCGGUAUACCGAUACCUUGUUCAAUCUCGUUACCGGCAAGUCUCUUUACUCGUUCCGUAACACAUCAUCCCGUGAUCAACCCCUUGGUCACAUUGUGCACAUUAUGAUGAUGUCCUACCGAGUGGGCCCAGAGAUACCUCUCCGUUUACACGGAGUGACAAAAUCCCAAUCUCGAUUCGUGCCAACCCAACAGACACUUUCAGAGAUACCCGUAGUGUACCUUUAUAGCCACCCAGUUACGUUGUGACGUUUGGCACACCCAAAGCACUCCUACGGUAUCCGGGAGUUGCACAAUCUCAUGGUCUAAGGAAAUGAUACUUGACAUUAGAAAAGCUUUAGCAUACGAACUACAUGAUCUUGUGCUAGGCUUAGGAUUGGGUCUUGUCCAUCACAUCAUUCUCCUAAUGAUGUGAUCCCGUUAUCAACGACAUCCAAUGUCCAUGGUCAGGAAACCGUAACCAUCUAUUGAUCAACGAGCUAGUCAACUAGAGGCUUACUAGGGACAUGGUGUUGUCUAUGUAUCCACACAUGUAUCUGAGUUUCCUAUCAAUACAAUUCUAGCAUGGAUAAUAAACGAUUAUCAUGAACAAGAAAAUAUAAUAAUAAUCAAUUUAUUAUUGCCUCUAGGGCAUAUUUCCAACAGGGUGUUCUCAUCCCAAAAUUAUGGAAGCCAAAACACAUAAGGCCCUUGAAAUGAACAACAACCCCUGACCCUCAAAUAGAGUAGCAAGGAAUCUAUUCGUGAAUUAACAAUCAAACAAAUAAAUUGUAGAAAAAUAGAACGGCGCAGCAAGGCGUGUAUAUGCUUCUAGUAUACUCAGUGUUCCACCUGCCUUACCGCUUAGCCUAAAAAAACCUGCCUUACCGAUAUUGUACACGUGGCCCUGAGGGCCACCAAAUUCCAAGUAAAAAAGAAACAACUUUCAACAGCAACAACAAGCAGAAUUGCUUUUUAAAAAGGGAAAUGUUUGGGGCCGGGGCACCGGCCGAAGCUUCGGCCGGUCCAGUCCACGCGCGCGUGAUGCGGCCCACUCACGAGCAACCACGUGGUGCGAUGGACCCGAGACGACUAGUCCUCCUUCCUUUUCUCUUCUUCCUCUCGCGCAUCUCUCUCUUUCUCUCUCCCCGCUGACAUGGUCAACGCAUCGCCCCGCGUCGCAGGCCUCCCAGGGGCGCCGCCGUUCAGCAGAUCUGGCCGCCCUCGACCUGACCCGCGCGGAUCCACGUGCAUCGGAGCUCUCCCUACCUCGCCGGACCCGGCCACGCCGGAGCUGCAACCAGCCAUGGCAGGACUGCACCCCGCGGCGCAAAUUUGCUGGAACCUCGACGUCACGGCGAGACGGCGGAUGACCAUUUUUUUGCUACAAUUGUGUUCUGGUUUUGCUACUACCAUAGAGAUUUUUUGCUGGAACCGAUGGUAUUUUUUGCUUCAAUCAGAGAGGCGCGAUAGCUGGGGAGGCUGGCGAGUGCUGCAACCGUUGACAGGAAAGCUUCAACCCAAGAUUAAAAAUGCUUCAACCGUAUAUACAGAAAGCUGUAAGCGAUCAGUGCUAUCGAAAAGCUACACCCGUCUAUAUAAAAUGCUACAACCUUUGAUGAAAAAAGCUUCAACCGAACGAUAGAGAAAAGCUUUCACCCAGACGCUGCUCAAAAAGAAAAAUGUUUCAAUCGUUUACAAAAAAGCUUCCACCAUAGAGGGGAAAAGCUACAACCGUGUCAAUUUUUUGCUACUACCGUCUGUGUUUUUGCUACAUCCAUUCAUGCGGCCAUGGUGCUUUUUUACGACUGAGGUGUGACUGGCAACGACGAGGACGACAUUUUUGUUGCAACAUCCUCGUUUUUUGCUACCAUUUGGCGUUGUGUUUUGCUACAUCCGAUUAACAUUUUUGCUACAAUGGCGACGCCGAUGGAUUUUUUUUGCUGCAACCGUUGUCUUCAUUUGCUACGACUGACACGGGAAAAUGCUACCACGGGGCAUCUCUGUUUUUUACUGGAACCAAUCGUCGGUGAGGCGGAGCUGCAUCCAUGGCGCUCCGAUGAGCAGCGGGGGCAGCGAGCCGUCGGGGCGAGCAGAGUCCCGGAGCGCGGGGCGGCCCCGACAGGCGGCCGGGGCGGCGAGCGGACUGGACGAGCUGAGUCGCGGAGCUGCAUCCAUGGCGCUCCGACGGGUGGCCGAGGCGGCGAGCGGUCAGCUCCAACCGGCGGCCGGGGCGGCGAGCGGCCGGGAUGAGCUGAGUGCCGGAGCGUGGGGUGGCCCCGACAGGCGGUCGGCACGGCGAGCGCUCGGAAAGACGAGGACAAGGUAAAAAAAACAGAGGAGCUCGGAUAUGACGGUGUUACACAGCAGAUCGGGCGGCUGGGAGCAGACCGGCCGAAACAUUCGGCCGGUGUGCCGGCGCCUAGCGGUGCCCUUUUAAAAAAGGAACAAAUUAAAGGAAGAAAACAUACUCUCUGCAAGAGCCAACAAAAUCACCACUUACCUUUUUCGUUACAAGAAAAUCCUAUUACGUCGCUUUGCUAAAUAAACGCUCAACCAGCACGUCUGGGUCUGGCUCAUUCUGGUUUUGGGUCCUCUUCUUAAUUUUCUUUCUUUUUAUUUUUCAAAAAUUGUUCUUUUUUUAAUUUAUCUUGAUUUUGGUUUUAUUUUUUACUUCAAUAAAAGCCUAAACAUUUUUUUCCUGGUAUAUAAAAUACAUAUCAUACAUGUAUGAACAACUGCAUGACACGGUACUUGCAGGUGUGACACUCUGGGCGGCUGGUACUUGGACUGGAUGCAAAAGUGUCCUCGUCUCAAGAGAUUUUGAGAGGCUUUACCGUGAUGAAUAGUACCAUCAUUUUCUGUCCGACUUGGUUUAGUUCUCCAUGGAGACACACUUUGGAGCUGGCCGUUGCACAUGGCAUAACAAUCCAACGAGCUCAAUCAAAGUUCGUACUGUCCCCGUCGCUCAUAGAUCUUCCCAUAUGCCUCCAACACCUAGUAUUAACCCGAGCUCCAACUCCAAUCACUUGCGAGCAUUUUGAGGCGGUCUGAAACCUCAGAAUGAACUCGCAGAGAUGAUAGUUUUCUCAGCAACAAAGAAAAGUACAAAAAUAGAAAAAGACAUAGAACCACCACUAUUAAGACACAUCUUGUGAACAAAUCCUAAAAGCCCAAGUGAACGCACAAUCAAAUCGGAUCCUAAACUACAAGACCAAUCGAUACGGUUAGGUAACCGCCUACUCUAGCAACAUAUACCAAAUCAAACUGGCUAUGUACUAGUGCAAGUCGCAAAAUCCCAAGCCUUUAUAUUGGCAUAUGGUGGUGGUGGGAGUGGGAUAAUGCUUUGGUUGUUGUGUUAGUGAAUGCAUGCACAUACUCACAUUGCAAGUCAAGAGGGACAAGGCCACCAUUUAAAGGCUCAUGGCACUCUGUAUUUAAAGUCCCGUAUCGUCACCAAUUAACUGCAAUUUGGCAUUGCUUGGCAAUGCCCGUAGUUUUCAUGAUGUGCUUUCCCUAUCACGUGCUUCAUCAAAUUGGAAGCUUAGUUUUGACAUAUGGGAGUCUCGCAUGUUUACAUCGCCUUAUUUUCUUGAUCUUAUAUUUUUCAUUAAUGAAUCAUUCAAUAGUAGAGAUGUCCAAUAGAUCACCAUUACAUGAUUUUCCAUGAGACAGCUUGAUGAUUGUUUCACACAUGCUGCGGCAUUUUCAACACGUAAAUAAAUAAUUUUGGAAAUCUAAAAAUAUAUUAGUUUUUAUAGAAUUAAGAAAUUAAGGGAAUACAAGCUUAAAGAGUAAUUAUUAAAUCCUAGACUUUGUUUUUGGAAUUACCGGGGAAACUAUUGUAUUUUUUUUUGUGAAGUCCAUCCUCCAGAGCACCAUAGUUUUUGCACCUAGGUCCUCUAAUUGAAAAAAAAACUAAUGAACCAAGUUGAACACACAUAUGUCUAUAAGAGCGUGCAUCUCUUUGCACAUAUAGCAUUGCAAACAUUCUAAAUCUAGUUGCCCUUCGUAAGAUAUACAACCCCAACACCAGAUGCAAGGCAAAAUAGCUUUUUGGCUGGAGUGCACCUUUUGAAUUUCGGUGGUGAAACCAUGAAGUUUGGGUACAGUCUGAAUGCUCAUGAAUCAUCUCCCAUGAUCGGUUUGGUUUGUCCAUUGUUUGAACCUUAAUCGGUUGAGUGAUAGGAUUAUACAUUGUCUUAGUUUCUUGUUCCAGGUCUUAUUCUUUCUUGUGAUCAGUAUUCCUUUUGACCAUUUUUGUCUUGCAACAAUUUAUUGGAGCUAUCAUGGAAAUUCAAUGUUCUGGUCAUCUUUUGUCAGCAGUGCCUCUUGGCUCUACUAAGUGCUUUAGGAUAUUGUCUUUGGGUCCUUAUAUCUUAAUAUGAGGUGUCAAACUCUUGAAAGAAAAUGCUAUAUGAAGUGACCCAAUUAGUUGCCUGGAAGAUUCCUUCAGCAAAGUUCUCUGAAAGCUACAUCUGAAGCAUCUCUGCACAACUGAUGCUUGCACGGGAGCACCCUGAUGGAAGCCGGCCACGCUGCACCGAAUGCUGCCCCUACACACGCCAUCCUGGUGGAGACCGGCCACACUGCAUGGUGUUUUGAAUUUAUUCGUGAUGCCGCUAAAAGGGAAGAUAUGCUUAUACUCCCUCUGUAAACAAAUAUAAGAGUGUUUACAUUACUACUUUAGUAAUCUAAACGCUCUUAUAUUUCUUUACGGAGGGAGUACAUUUCAACAUCAUGUUCAUUUUCUUUAUGUUGAAAGUUUUAAAGUUAGAGCAUCUCUAACAGGCGCGCUAUGUUAGCCGCGCGCUAAAAAAAACCGUUUUAUUGCGCUCACGCGGGGGCGAAACAGGCGCUCCAGCAGCCGCGCAAUAAUCGCGCACGCGGUAAACUUGGUUCAGCGUGCAGUGUAUUUGCUACGCCCGCUCCCGCACGCUGGACAUGCCAAUUGGGCGCGCGACUCUCACCAACCGCCAGAUCCAAAACCUCCAGGCGUUGGCGCCGCCACCCGCACCUUCCCCAUUGCUCCGGCGACCCAUCAGUGCUUCCGUCGCUUCCCUCCUCGCCGCCACCCCUCGAGCGCACCGUUCCUCCUGCAAACAGCGCCUGGCGGCCGUUUGCAGCUCGACGCCCACAAGGAGUUUGACAAAACGCUUGCAAGCUAUGUAUUGCUUCAACUUUAUAUUUGUAGAUGAAUUUGGUGCAUGUUGUUUGUAGUUUUAAACUAGUUUAAAUUCAAUAUUAUAGAUGAGUUGGUCCUAUGAUUCUUCUGACAAAGAAUUUGAUAUUCAAGAGGAGGACAUCGCAAUGAUCCUAGCUAUACACGUCAAUAAAAAGCUGAAGCACGGUGGUACAGUUAUCAGUCGUCAGAAAUUGCGGAGGGCUAGGAUCGGUGCCCACAAAAGAUUGAUGAGGAACUAUUUUGUAGAGAAUGCCAUAUACCCCGAGACCUACUUUCGGCGACGUUUUAGGAUGAGCAUCGAGUUGUUCAAACACACUGCGGAGAAACUAGCGAGCCAUGAUCGGUUUUUCUAGCAACGGAGGAAUGCCACCGGAGAACUCGGGCAUAGCACCUUUCAAAAGGUGACCGCCGCUUUGCGUAUGUUGGCAUACGGUAUUCCGGCGGAUCUCGUUGAUGACCAGUUGGCCAUGGGUGAGAGUCAAGCCAUCAUGUGUGUCAAGCGCUUCGCAGUCGGAAUUGUGCAAGUGUUUGGUCCAGAAUAUUUGAGAGCUCGCAAUGCCGAAGACACCGCAAGGCUUUUGGAGAUGAGCAAAGCUCGCGGGUUUUCAGGUAUGCUUGGCUCAAUAGAUUACAUGCAUUGGAGUUAGAACUGUCCUAAGACAUGGCAUGAACAAUUUCACGGCCAGAAAAAGGGUUCCACUAUAAUCGUUGAAGUGGUGGUCGAUCAGGAGACUUGGAUUUGGCAUGCUUUUUUCGAAUGCAUGCCUGGAUCUUUGAAUGACAUCAAUAUUCUUAAUCAGUCACCACUCAUGAAUAAGAUUGCAAAUGGUGAAACUACACCGGUGGAGUUUGUAGCAUGGUCCUACAUACAACUAUGGCUACUAUCUUGCGGAUGGCAUCUACCCAAGGUGGGAAACAUUUGUGAAGCCGUUGACGGCACCGCAAGGUAAGAAAAAUCUUGAUUUCCACAAUGCUCAGGCGGCGGCUAGGAAAGAUGUGAAGAGAGCUUUUGCGAUUUUGCAAGCCCAAUUUGCUAUUGUUAGAGGACCAACUAAAUUUUGGGAUCAAAAGAUCCUUUGGUACAUCAUGAGCGCUCGUAUGAUCAUGCAUAACAUGAUCGUCGAGUAUGAGCGUGGGCAAAAUUUAAACUAUUCUCAGUAUGAGUUGUUGGGACGUCCCGUGUGAGUGUGGAGGAGGGCUGUGAGGGUGGCCCGAUUUAUUGGCCCCUGUCAUAUGCCAUUCGACGUGCCAAAACGCAUAAUGAUCUGCAAAAGAAUCUAAUCGAGGAGUGGUGGGCAUGGAAUGGGCGACAAAAUUGGUUUGAUGUUGUAUGUUCAGAUGUUGUAUUGUUGAACUAUUUGUUGUAUUGGAACAUAAACUAUUUGUUUCAGUUGGAAUAAUAAUUGAGCUAUUUAUUGUUGAUUUAUUUUUUGUGUGUUCGAUCUUUUUGGUUUUAUGUUAAGUGGGAAAUGUUGUUUGUGCUAGUCGCGUGCGCUGUAACUUUAGCGUGCCUGCUGGAGUGCUACCUGCGACGUGAAAUGUAGCGUUUCUGCUAAAGCAAAACACAUGCCCAGCGCGCGAAAACGCUACUUCGGCACUGUAAAAGUUUUUUAACGCGUCACGCGAGCGUGCGUCUGUUGAGGAUGCUCUUACACUUGCCUUGCUAUGCUAGUACUAUUAAUGUACCCUUGUAGGCUUGUACUAAUACCCAACUUUCAGAUCUAAUCUGAAGGAAAUAAACACCACAUGUCGCCAACUUGCCAUCACUUGGCGUGUCCGGCCGGCCGGUUGCGUUUGUUUUGGCAUCAGAGUAUCCGCCGGCCGAUUGACAAAGACACGCGAGCCGGACACGCUCGCCGUCGUCGUCAACUCCAACACCCAUUUACCACACGACUACAGUCCAUUGUUACCACGAAACAGCUGGGCGGACGAAAACUGCCUGCGCCACAAGGGAACUUGUUACCAUGGGAAUUGGCACAGAUUUAGUCGUGCUGAUUUGAUUUCUAAUUUGAUAUUUUAUAAUCUUCGGUACUAUCGAUCCACGCCAUCUUGUUUUACUUGCCCAUUGCAUCCGUUCAUCGGCUUCAUCCUUACUAAUUGUAACAAAAGUUGCUCCUCUGAGCAGCGAAGUAGCAGCAAUGGGGGAGGUUGGUGCUGAGUCUGCAGGCAUGAUCUACACCCAAGAUGGCACGGUGGACAUCAAGGGCAACCCGGCCGUCAAGAGUGACACCGGCAACUGGCGCGCCUGCCCCUACAUCCUUGGUACGUACGUACGUACAUAGUAGUACAAGGCCGGGAGGGACUCCAUUGUUGGCCUGCUCUUACCUUGAGCCAUGGCGUUGAUGGAUGAAUUGGAAUUGCAGCGAACGAAUGCUGCGAGCGGCUGGCCUACUACGGCAUGAGCGCCAACCUGAGCAACUUCAUGCUGGACAACAUGGGCAUGAACAACACCGCCGCCGCCAACAGCGUCACCAACUGGGGCGGCACCUGCUACGCCACCACCCUCAUCGGCGCCUUCCUCGCCGACGCCUACCUUGGCCGCUUCUGGACCAUCGCCUCCUUCGUCACCAUCUACAUCAUCGGCCUCGGGCUCCUCACGGUUACGGCCUCGGUGAAGGCGCUGGUGCCGACGUGCGCGGCCAAGGGGGUGUGCGACCCGACGGCGGGGCAAACGGCCGCGGUGUUCGUGGGCUUGUACCUCGUCGCUCUGGGCACGGGCGGCAUCAAGCCCUGCGUGUCCUCGUUCGGGGCCGACCAGUUCGACGAGAACGACGACGGCGAGCGCCGGAGCAAGAGCUCCUUCUUCAACUGGUUCUACCUGUCCAUCAACAUCGGCGCGCUGGUGGCGUCGUCCGUGAUGGUGUACGUGCAGGAGCACUACGGCUGGGCCUGGGGCUUCGGCAUCCCCGCCGUCGUCAUGGCCAUCGCCGUCGGCAGCUUCUUCGUCGGCACGCCGCUCUACCGCCACCAGCGCCCCGGCGGCAGCCCGCUCACCCGCAUCGCGCAGGUGCUCGUCGCCGCCACGCGCAAGCUCAGCGUCCCUGUCGACGGGUCGGCUUUGUACGAGACGAUGGACAAGGAGUCUGGCAUCAUGGGGAGCCGCAAGCUGGAGCACACCGAGCAGUUCAGGUUCCUCGACAAAGCGGCCGUGGAGACGCCGGAGGACAGGACGGAGACCGGGCCGUCGCCGUGGCGGCUGUGCACGGUGACGCAGGUGGAGGAGCUCAAGAGCGUGGUGCGGCUGCUGCCCAUCUGGGCGAGCGGCAUCGUCUUCGCGGCGGUGUACGGGCAGAUGAGCACCAUGUUCGUGUUCCAGGGAAACACCCUCGACAAGCGCAUGGGCGCCCACUUCUCCAUCCCGUCCGCCUCUCUCUCUAUCUUCGACACCAUCAGCGUCAUCGCCUGGGUGCCCGUCUAUGACCGCCUCCUCGUCCCGGCCGUCCGCUCCUUCACCGGCCACCCCCGCGGCUUCACGCAGCUCCAGCGCAUGGGUGUCGGCCUCGUCGUCUCAAUCUUCUCCAUGGUCGCCGCCGGCGUGCUCGAGCUCAUCCGUCUCCGCACGGUCGCGCGGCACGGGCUGUACGGGGAGAAGGACAUCGUGCCCAUCUCCAUCUUCUGGCAGGUGCCGCAGUACUUCAUCAUCGGCGCCGCCGAGGUGUUCGUCUUCGUGGGGCAGCUCGAUUUCUUCUACGACCAGGCGCCGGACGCCAUGAGGAGCAUGUGCACGGCGCUGUCGCUCACGGCGAUAGCGCUGGGGGGCUACGUGAGCACGCUGCUGGUGACCGUGGUGGCGAAGGUGACGACGAGGGGCGGAAAGGAAGGGUGGAUCCCGGCGAAGAACCUUAACGUCGGCCACCUCGACUACUUCUUCUGGCUGAUGACCGUGCUCAGCGUCGUCAACUUUGUUGUCUACCUACCCAUCGCCAAUUGGUACACCUACAAGAAGACCGCCGGAGCCGGAGACGACCAGGACGCCAACGAAGUAGGUGAUGGUUCGACUGCCGGAGCCGGAGACGACCCGGACGCCAACCAAGUAGGUGAUGAUUCGACUGCCGGAGCCGGACAUGACCAGGACGCCAACGAAGUAGGUGAUGAUUCACCUAAAUCAGGAGACAGAACAAAAUAGAUUGUUGAAAGCAAGAAUUGGUAGUACUUCUCUUGAAAAGAUUUGAUAGAAAUGUCCUUGAAAUAAAAGAUUAGGAAAAAGGAAAUCGUGAAUAUUCAUUAACGUUUUUCUUUUUGGGAAAAGGAUCCGGGUCUAUAAUAAAGAUUCACCAAAAGUGCAAAACACCUUAAACAUAUCAAAAAUUAUAUCGAGGUUCAUGGACCACAGAACCACCACUGUCGCCGCCGACUUGCUACUCUCGCUGCUCCCAUACCGAAGUCGGCCUUACCUCGUCGAUGACAGUUAGAAAGUCUUCAUGCAUGUGCACCUAAGGACUGCCGCCUCGGAGCCACGUUCGUAACAUGUCAUCUGGCCAAUCAGGUUAUAAAGAACUAUGACAUGUUUCAGCGUCGUCAACUUUGCUGUCUACCUGCCCAUCACCAACUCGUACCCAUGCAAGAAGGCCGCCGGAGCCGGAAACGACCCGGACGCCACCGAAGUAGGUGAUGAUUCACCUGAAUCAGGAGACACCGCAAAAUAUGUUGUUGAAAGCAAGAAUUGGUACUUCUCUUGGAAAUAUUUGGCAGAAAAAUGUGUUGAAAUGUCCUUAAGAUAAGAGUUUAGAAAAAGGAAAAUCAUGAACAUUCAUUGACAUACUUUUAUUUUCAAAAAGGACCUGGAUCUGUUACAAAGAUUAACCAAAAGUGCAAAUCACCUUAAGAGCACUACACCAACAUUAAUUUCAAAGUUUUCAAACAAAUGCAUUAAAAUUAUUCGUAAAUUCAAAAACCUAAAAUUAAGUUUGUGUUUUAAUUGUCACAUCUACAUGUUUCAAAUUGCCAAACAUUAGUUUUAGAAGAUCAACACGGUCUUUGUUCAUUUUUUGGAAAAUUUUAUAUGUAAUUGCUGUUCAAUUUUGAAUUAUGUCAAAUGAAAUACAAAUUUGUUUAUAAAUGCCAAAUAUAGCAAAUAAUGAAUCCUAGAAUGUGGUCAUUUGUAAUUUUCGGCGUCUACUAGAUGUGCAGAGAGCAGUGUGGCCGUCUCCAGCAACUACUUGGUGUGGGCGAGGCAAUGACCUCCAGUGAUUUUUCAAGGAGGCACGGUCUCAUCUUUUGUUGGUUGUCAUGGGUGCUUCAAGUUGGGGUUCGGAUACUCCUAUGCUCUUGCAUGACGUCAAGCUGGUGGCGCCUUGUCUGCAUUGUGUUCCAUUUCUAUCUAUGUUGUUUUGUUCUAUCGUUGAUCUAUUGUAUAAGAAGGUUUCCUUCAAUCAUCAAUCAUUUGACUUUAUCUAUAAAGCGAGACAAAACCCUAUUUCAAGAAUCACAAUGAAGAUUGUCAGCGCAAAAGUAUGUUGGACAAGAUUUUAGCUUUUCCCUAAGCCCUUUCAGACAUUAGGUCGUGCACAGCCAACAACUAGCUUAUAGUCUACAACGGAGAAGAUUUUAUCAUUAUUCAAUGGAAUGACGUGCAGUUUUCAGAGUGCACGAUGUGUGAUGCGUACGAUCCUGCGUGUGAAUCACAAUGCGGUGACACGCGAUGAGAGGUGUCAGGAUAACUUAUGGUUUCCCCUCAUUUCCCGGUGCCUCCAUUUCCUACAUAUAUGAAUUAUGCACGUACAGAUAGACAGUCGAUCUCGUACAGCAGUGGUUGUACACCUAAUAAGUUGAACAGAUCCUUUCUGUUUGGAUUGGUAGUGCAGCUAAAUUGUGAAUUUCAUAUAUGCAUAGUGUGUGUGUCUAUAUAUACAGCUGCACACCGUAUGACUACUGUUCAAGAGCUAGCUCCAAUUAAUGUCUUUACUAGCUUGGCACGCAGUUGGUAGCGUUCAACUUAUCUUGUUAAUUAUAUCAGAGUUGGUAAAGGCGAAAAUUACACGAAAGGCGUUGUUGCUCAGUAAUGACCCUGAACUUUGGUCCCUUAUCUUUCGUCUAACUGUACACGAAAGGCGUUGUUGCUAAAGGCGUUGUUGCUCAGUGGUGUAUAAAAUUUCAAUGCUUUUAACUGAAAAUUAUUGUUUUCAAGUACCCUGAAGGUGUAUUUAUAGGGAGGGAAAGUCAAGAUGUUCAUUGCAUAAUUGCUUGGAUUACCAUGCUAGUUCUUACUUAUAAUAAUUUAUAUCUCAUGGUUCAUAUUUGUAAUUUUUUAUUUUAUUUUUUGUACUGGUUUUACAUGUUUUUGCCAAGUAUUUUCUAGCUUAAAAGACCAUUUUUUUAAGGUGCAACAUGAUUCGGACCGGCACAAAUACUGAAAGUAGAGGGUUAUGAUCCGGGUGAGUAUAUUACCGAAGAUCAUGACAAGAACCUACCACCGACAUAUCCGCUUGAUCCACAUAAUAUGAGAUGUAAAAAAAAAUCAUGUGACUAAUUGGUCCAUUCGAAACUUACGUUAUUAGCAGAAAUUUAUAUAAUGGAGUAUUUGCUUGUAGUUUAGAGGAUCACACCAUCAGCAACACAGGCCAUAACUUGCCAAAACCAACCACCAUUCCGGACUGGAGCAAACAAAGAGAUCGUGCACCCAGCCCGCUAGCCGGCCAAUAGGAGACAAGGUGUUCGAUCGAUGAACUUGAAGCUUGACUAGAAGCCAUGUUUGCUGGAUUCACUACCGGAAAACUGACCUAUGCCUACGGCCAAAUCAAUGCCGACGGCUGCCGUCGGCCUAGUUUGAGAUAUGCCGACAGCCUCGUCCUAGCCGUCGGCGUAGCCUGGCCGUCGGGCUACCCGGAUAUAAGCCGACGGCAGCCGUCGGCACAGAAUGGCCGCCGGCCUAUCUACAAACACGCCGACAGCAGCCGUCGGUAUAAGAUAGCCGUCGGCAUACAAAGUGGGCCCGGCGACCCCGCCUGUGACCACCGUUAACGCCGUCAACCCUAUGCCGAUGGUCGGGACGGUAAGCCGUUGGCAUAUCUCCGCAUGCCACGUCACCGAUCCGCGGUGUACAUAUGCCGACGGCAGCCGUCGGCAUAGGCUCCACGUCACCGAUCCGCCGCACGGCUCCUCCCAAAACCCUGCCGUUUCUAUGCCGACGGCAAUUUACAUGCUUUUCAUACGUUUUUAUGCUUUUUUACAUAUGUUUUUAUGCUUUUUUUAAAUAUGUUUUUAUGCUUUUUUAUGUAUUAUAUGAAUAUAUAUAUGUAGUUUGUAUUUUUUUCCAUAGAUUAUGAAUAUAUAUAUAUAGUUUCUAAAUUUUUUUCGAGCACAAUAAUAAUGUGCCGUCAUGUUCUUUUGAAUAUAAGUCCUUAUAUUUUAUUAAAAUAAAAAACAGCUAUGCGACAGAAGUUUAGUGGCGGUUGCAAAUGCCCGGCACCCGUCUCCGGAGUGUGACACCCUCACAGACGGCGCCGCCGUCGGCACCUGGAGGGGGAAAACGGAUGCAUCGGGUCUACACGGAGGGGAUGUAGCAGUCGGUUUGGCCCGGAUGUUGCUCCCAGGUGUCCCUCUGAGCUGACCUGACACAACCGGGUGGAGAGGUCCACUCUUCAAAGCCCGUCCGUGUUAAGUCAAAGGGAUAGAUCUCGUGGUCAACUGCUCCUGGGUUAGUCGGGACGGGGGCCCUGGGGGUAGCAAUGCCACCGGAGCGUCGUAUCGGGCCCUCAUACAUGCGGGGUGGUGUUGUGGCAUGUCCGAAGAGGCNNNNNNNNNNNNNNNNNNNNNNNNNNNNNNNNNNNNNNNNNNNNNNNNNNNNNNNNNNNNNNNNNNNNNNNNNNNNNNNNNNNNNNNNNNNNNNNNNNNNNNNNNNNNNNNNNNNNNNNNNNNNNNNNNNNNNNNNNNNNNNNNNNNNNNNNNNNNNNNNNNNNNNNNNNNNNNNNNNNNNNNNNNNNNNNNNNNNNNNNNNNNNNNNNNNNNNNNNNNNNNNNNNNNNNNNNNNNNNNNNNNNNNNNNNNNNNNNNNNNNNNNNNNNNNNNNNNNNNNNNNNNNNNNNNNNNNNNUGUGCUAUAGGACUGAUGGUAAUUUUUCAUAAUUUUUUGUGAUGGAGAAGUAUCUGAACACUUCCCUCUACGCGGAUUGCUCUUCGCACGUCUACGACUGUGGCCCGCGGCCUCCGGGGGCUAGCAUACCGUCAAAUCUUGCGUAGGCGGCCUCUCACAAAUCUGGAAGUGUUGAGGCGGUUGCAAACGCCCAGCACGCGUCUCCGGGGUGUGCCCCCCCCUCACGGACGCCGCCGCCGCCGGCACCUGGAGGGGGGAAACGGACGCGUCGGGUCUACACGGAGUGGAUGUAGCUGUGGGUUUGGCCCGGAUGUUGCUCCAAAGUGUUCCUCUGGGCCGACCUAACACAACCGGGUGGAGAGGUCCACUGGUCAAAGCCCGUCCGUGCAAAGUCAAAGGGCUAGAUCCCGUGGUCAAACGCUACAGGGUUAGCCGGGACGGGGGCCCUGGGGGUAGCAAUGCCACCGGAGCGUCGUACCGGGCCCUCAUACAUGCGGGGUGGUGUUGUGGCGUGUCCGAAGAGGCGGCACGCGUCUCCGGGUUGUGGCCCCCCUCACGGACGGUAAUGAAACGGUAGUAGACGUUCUGCGGUAACGAUGCAGCGUGAAUAUUAUUAAAUACUUGGAGCGCGAUAAAAUCAUGAGUUUUUUACACAACGUGGGCACAUGUGCUAUAGGACUGAUGGUAAUUUUUCAUAAUUUUUUGUGAUGGAGAAGUAUCUGAACACUUCCCUCUACGCGGAUUGCUCUUCGCACGUCUAUGACUGUGGUCGGCGGCCUCCGGGGGCUAGCAUACCGUCAAAUCUUGCGUAGGCGGCCUCUCACAAAUCUGGAAGUGUUGAGGCGGUUGCAAACGCCCAGCACGCGUCUCCGGGGUUUGCCCCCCCACUCACGGACGCCGCCGCCGCCGGCACCUUGAGGGGGGAAACGAACGCGUCGGGUCUACACGGAGUGGAUGUAGCUGUGGGUUUGGNNNNNNNNNNNNNNNNNNNCGCCGCCGCCGGCACCUGGAGGGGGGAAACGGACGCGUCGGGUCUACACGGAGGGGAUGUAGCAGUCGGUUAGGCCCGGAUGUUGCUCCCGGGUGUCCCUAUGGGUAGACCUGACACAACCGGGUGGAGAGGUCCACUGGUCAAAGCCCGUCCGUGGGAAGUCAAAUGGCUAGAUCUCGUGGUCAACCGCUCCAGGGUUAGGCGGGACGGGGGCCCUGGGGGGUAGCAAUGCCACCGGAGCAUCGUACCGGGCCCUCAUACAUGCGGGGUGGUUUUGUGGCAUGUCCGAAGAGGCGGCACGCGUCUCCGGUGUGUGGCCCCCCUCACGGAAAAAUCUAUAUAAAAUAAUAACACAUAAAAAAGGAAAAUUAUAACUAUAAAAAAUUUAAAAAUCUAUAUGAAAUAAAAAAGAAUAAAUAUAUAACUAUAAGAAAACAUUAAAAUAAAAAAGGAAAAUAAAACAAUGCCGGAUCAGGCACUCGGUAACGGUACCAUGUAUCAUUUUUAAUAUAAUUAUAUACCAUGUAUCAUUCAGAAAAAAUUCAAGAACGUGUAUUUGAAAAUAUUUAACAUGUACGUACAAAUAUUUUAUAUAUAUCCCCGAGCACGCCUGGCCACGGCUCCGGCCAGCAGCCCGCGUCCCUGCCCGGCCGGCCCUGGUGCUAGCUCCGGUCGGCGGCGGCCUCUGCUUCUCCGGCCGACCAUGAUCAGCUCUGUCCCUCCCGUCCCCUCCAUCGUCGUGACGCCCCUCUGCCCAGUGAGCUAUGCUCUUUUUUUUUCAUUUUUCCUACUGUGACAUUCAUAGUUUCAGAUUAAUUUGCUGCAAAUAACUACUAUGUAUGGACAUGUGUAACUUAUCUUCACAAAGAUAAGUGAUGUAAUUGUUAGCAUUGUUCUCUUCUAGAUUUUAUGUCCAUAAGCCUAAUAUUUGUACCAAUAUGAUAUAUAAUGGAUUAUGACAAUAUAUGCAUGUGAGAUUAAUGGAUGGUGUAUUCGGCCCCUAAGUCUAUUCACAUAUGCAUGCAAAACAAAUUUUUGAGUUGAUGUUUGUGUCAUGUUCUUUGAGUUGUUGACGUCUAGAGAUGGCAUGGAUAGGAGGUGAAGCUGUGUCUAAAUCCUUGCUAUGUGACAUUUAGUUUCUAAAAUAGUUGUGUGAGAUGUGCUCCAAAAUUGGCAUAUGAUGAGUGGUUAUUUAAUCAUGAUGAUCUUGCUAAAAAAAUUGAAGGACAAAAUUUGACACUUGACGAAAUAUGAUUUUUUUUCAUAGUUUAAAGUGUCAAUGCUUAACCUUUUUUUGCACUUGGUCGAAUUAACAGGAUUUGUGGUGUUCCAUCUUCGUGGAGUGACCGUCGACGUUGGAGGUGUUUGUCCACGAUCGUCCCUCCUUUGAUCGACUACACCCUCUACAUUGGAGGGUGAGCAACAAUUCCAUGACCUCGUCCACUUUUUUUCCAUGUCACUAGAUUGAAUUUUCACAUCAAGUCGCGUAACCUAGGUCUCCCGUACGAAAGGGUUGCAUCGAUAAAUGUGCAUUCAAUUGCAUAUUUAUCACCGCAACUCUUUCGGAUUGUCCAGCGCUUUCCACGGACAGCCCGAGGAUGUGUAGAUUGGGUACGUUGUUCAUGCUCUACCCCGUUCCGAGACAGGAUUUCGGCUGCGCCUCCCUGUUGUUCUCCGGAUGCACAUUCUCUCGGCAUUUUGCCGAGACGUGUAUUUGGAGAACAGCGGGGAGGUGUUGCCGAAAUUUUGUCUCAGAAUGGGGUAGAGCAUGGACCGUACUCAAUCUACACAUUCUCGGGUGGGAUUAGGACCCAUCUCGGGUGGGAUUAGGACCCAUCUCAGAAUGGGGUAGAGCAGCUGCGUGUUUUGGCCACAAGCUGGGCCCACUACGAGGCUUGCAGCAACGCGGAGUACGGGACGGCCGCUAAGGCCGUGAUCACCAAAUUUUGGGUAAGUUCCCUUUUGAAUCGCUUGUCUUCAGUUUCGUUCAUAGUUUAUCAUUGAAUCACUCAACUCAUGCCUUGUUUGCUUCUGGUUUAUGCAUGAUUGCAGCAACUCUAUAGAGUUCUUGACGAGCACAAGGCCAGAGCCGACGUGGUCUUACUUGCGUCUACAAAGAAGAAAGCUCAUCAGUUGUAGUACGAGGUGCGUUGGGUUGCCGUCUCACAGUACUACCACAUCUACCUACAACAAAAGAUGACCAAAACUCAAGCACAGAGGCAAAAAAAACCAUGAGCAGGGAGCAGUUCAUGAUGGUAACUAUUACUGACUUUUCAUUGUUUCAAGGAGUCAACUAUAUGUUUCGUGCUCACAUGUCAUGCUUCCAAAAUUUGCAUAGGUUGUUCCUCGUUGGUGCUAUGGAAGGCAUGACGGAUGGGCGUGUUUGGUGGAUAGGUGGGUCGGUGACGAUCCAGAGUUUGCUACCAAGAGCAUCAAGGCUCGGGCUAACCGUGGAAAAGACGGGACACACGGCCAAGGAAACAGGAACCACUGGGGCUUCAAGGCCAUGAAGGUAUAUCUAUAUGAAAGAUGCAUUUUGGUUCUUCUUUACCGUCAUGUUCUUAUGUAUGGCUAACUUCUGUUUGACGUUGCAGGAGGACAAGUUGCAGAGGCCGCUCUCAGACAUGGAGUCGUGGAAGCUGGCCCGCGAGCGGAGUGAUCGCAAGGAGGGCGAGAGCCAGUACUACGGCAACACCGAGCAACACCUGGAGUCUUACACUCAGAACUAUCAGAAGUUGCAUCCGGAUGUUCCCGUUCCUGAGGUCGCCCAGUCUCAGAUCGACGACACGGCGGUGGUGGCCAUCCAGGGUAAGUCCCAUGGCCGGUAUCCGUGUUUCGAUGGCUUGAUCACUCCGUCGAUCUCGUACACACGGCUUCGAGCUACCAACCCGAGCCCGUUAGAGAGUACGGGGCGUUCGCAGCCUCCCUUAGUCCGCCAACGUGCUGUAAGUACUUCCCCUUAUCUUCUUUGUCUCUAUCUUUCUUAGUUUAUUUUCAUCACUGCCCACUUAGAAACAACCUCAAUUUUGUAGGCAUAUCAGGCCUUUCUCGAGCAUAGGCAUAUUGAGGUGAGGGGGUACUUGCAACGAGUGAAGGCAAACGAUGAUUACAGCUGUCAAGUGAUGGCGGUUAGUUUUGCCCUCUUAAACCAAGCUCAAAUUUGCACUUUCAUUCCUUCUGACUUUGUUGAUCACGGCUUGUUUCUAAGUGAACUUGUUUAACUAACAUCCAGGCUAUGUUGGCGUCUUGGACUAACCACACGGAGCCACCACAAGUUGGACCCCCACCACCACCUGCGGGAGACGCCCCACACAUUCCCACGUUCGAGGAAUGGCUGGCACUAGGCGGUGAUACUCCGGUUAGUAAAUUUGCCUAACUAAUGACAAACUAGUUCUCGUUCAUUCAACACUAUCAUGUCAUAUUUACCGUUAGAAUCUUCUUUCAAACAUGUAGGGGACCGGUGGCUCGACUCCUGCUCCGUCGACCCCAGUCACUCCGAUCUGGUAGAGUGAUGGUGGUCGCGGUGGCGGUUUUGGCGGAGGUGGACUUGGCGGUGGCGGUUUUGGCGGAGGUGGACUUGGUGGUGGUGGUGGUUUUGGCGGAGGUGGUGGUUUUGGCGGAGGUGGACUCGGUGGUGGUGGUGGUUUUGGCGGAGGUGGACUAGGUGGUGCUUGAUGUCGAUGAUGAUUCCGUGUAUGCGGCCGUUGUGCCAUGUCUUUCAUGUUUCAACUUUUAUGAUGUUUCAUGUCUUGCACUACUCUUAUGUUUGUGAACUUUCGCCGGUGAUGAUCUUUAGAUGAUGAACUUGACUAUGUUUAAAUGAUGAUGAUGAUGAACUGUCAUAUUUUAUAUUAUUCUACUUUGAAAUGAUGUCAAAUGAAUUCAAAAAGGAGAAAACAGGGGGAAAAAAACUAUGCCUACGGCAAAGCCGUUGGCAUAUAUACGCUCAGGAGCCACCAGGAGGCGACACGUGGCAGGGCUAUGCCUACGGCAAAGCCGUCGGCAUAGAUGUAUGCCGACGGCUUUGCCGUAGGCAUAGCCCUGCCGCCAGGUCAAACCAGGGGGCGACACGUGGCAAAGAUAUGCCUACGGCGAAGCCGUCGGCAUAGAUUUAAUCUAUGCCGAUGGCUUUGCCGUAGGCAUAUCUUUACCAUGUGUCUUCUCCUGAGCCGCCAGCAGUUUUGACGGCGCCGUCCAUUGCCGUCAGAUGGAAAACUAUGUCGACGGCUAAACUAUGCCGACGGCUGCACCACGGCCGUCGGCAUACCCUCCUAUGCCGACGGCUAUACUAUGCCGACGGUCUGACAGAAGUACGCUGACAUGAUCUACACUGACGGGGCUAUGCCGACGGCAGCCAUAGGCAUAGAUCUAUGCCGACGGCAUAGGACCUAUGCCGACGGCCCUUAGCCGUAGGCAUAGCCCACGAGUCCGGUAGUGAUUAUAAUAAACCACCACUAAAUAGUGGUCCCCUGCGCGGAUUAGUAGGAGUGGUACAUGUGGUUGAGCAUCAAAGAACUUUGUCCUUUUAAGCCAGGCAGUGCCACUAAGGGUGCUUGGAUACGUUUUAGUCUCAUGACUAAAAGUAGUGGGACUAAAAUUUGCUAGCCUCACCCAUGCUUGGAUCCAAAUAGUAAAGAGACUAAAAUCAAGUUAUUGAGCAUUUAUUAUCCUCCAAACUCUUCAAUCCAGAACUCGCAUGUGUUAAAAGAGAUGAAUUAAAUAAGGAGAGAGAAGGCUAAUACAUAUUUUAGUAGGUUUCGUAUGACUAAAAAAAUUUUAGCCUCAAGACUAGUCCUAGCCUCUCUUUAGUUAGGGGUGCUUGGAACUUUAGCCUCUAAAAAAGACUAUUUUUAGUCAGACUAAAAAUAGACCCUUGAAUCCAAGCACCCUCUAAGCAAUAAAGGGGAAGGGUGGGGGGUAACUACGGCGGACUAAGAUCCAUCCUGAAUCUUUUCUUUUAUAAAUUUGUAGUCGCUGCCAUAUACAAAGAAGCGGGGAGAUAAGAACAAAGCUACCCAAACUACUCGAGAAACAGAGACACGCACAUCAAGUCUUGAAAGCUCUGCUUAACCCCCUGACCCUGUCAUAGAGGAUUGGCCUUUUGGAUUCAUUUUCACAUCUGUUUGACCAAGGAAAAAUAUCAUUUGCAGACCUAGAGAUAACAACUUGACGGUCUUCAUUCUAGUUCCUGAAAACUUCCGCGUUCCGGCACUUCUAGAUAUUCAACAAGAGAGCCAUAAUUACUGUGUUCCUUACUUUAUUUGCCGGCUCAGAGAUGGCUAAGUCAUGAUAGGAGAUGCAGUCGUCCGGAUUAAUGUUGAGAGAGUCAAUAAUCAUCCACAUAACCCUAGGAACUGAGCAGUGUAUGAGAAGAUGAGCUUUUGAUUCGGCUUCUUUACAACACAGACAAGCUUCGGUGGAGGCGGUCGGUGAAUAUCAUCUGCUUGUGUGCCAGCAAAAGAAACAUUUAACACCAGUUAGGCGCAAAUUAUUAUUUUUUGAAUAAUAAAAACAGAUCGUCUAACAUUGAGGAAAAAGUAGCUUCAUAAGCAACAGUAGUCGAGAGGGCUUUUUCAUAAACCCUGCCAGUUCGCAUGUGUUUGAUAGUAAAGACUAUGAUGUUGAGUGUGUUUGAUCAACGCAGCCCAACCAAGGUUCAGAAAGCCGCCAAAGACCCUAGCGCUGCUAAUCCUUUGGAGGAUAUGGCAAGAAAGAAAUGAGUGCUCUUUCAGAGUCAAGGUUGCUUCAGUGAGCGGCGUUAUAGCAGUUGUUAGACACGAUUUUGGUCUCUGGUGCCAGGCGAGUGUAAAAUUCAUUGAGCCCCAUUUUGGGGAUGAAAGUGCGAGAAUUUAGCCAAGACUUAGUAGUAUCAUGGCCAGCUUGUUAGGAGCUGGAAGGGUUGCCUAGUGGCGCCUCUUUUUUUUUCCUCCUUGAUCCUUGGAUCACAAUACACCUUUGUACUCUUCCACAUGCUCCUACUUUGGUCAAUAUAAAGCCAGGCACCAGCUGGAUCUUUCAAAACAAAGAAGAACUUGAGGCUGCAAACUACAUGGUGUCCUAUAUGGUGUCCUACCAUGUAGGGUGCUCGACACCAUAGAUAUCUUCGACCGAGUUCUAAGCAUAUUGUUUCCCCUCAUUUCUCGAUGUCUCCUUUUCCAAUGUGUAUGGUCACUGCAGGUAUAGCUAAAUGACCAAUCUCUAAUACGGUAGUGGUUGCACACCCAGUAGAUUGAACUAUUGUAUACUGGCCCUUAUAUAUCCCUUCAAUUUUUGCUGCUAGCUAGCACAGCUAAAUUAUCACAUGUGUGUGCAAUAUAUAGCCGCACAACACACAUGAGUAUGGUCCAAAAGCUAGCUCCAAUUAAUGUAUUUACUAGCUUCACAUACAAUCGGUAGGUUUCAAUAUAUCUUGUGUUUUCUUUGAAGGAUUCAAUAUAUCUUGUUAAUUGGACGAGAGUUGGCACCGUGAGUUGCAUUAGAAGAAUUUGGUCCCGCAUCGUUCGAAUUGAAAUCUUCCCGACGAUAUUAGCUGGUUGUCGUUGACAGGGGCGCACACUAUAACCCAGACAACAGUAGAGGCCUGAAUCGAUCAGGCCCUACCAACAUAGUUUAAAAAACCGAAUUGGACCGGGAAAAACCGAAACCGGCGCCCUUUUUAAGCUAAAAAGAUCGAUGUACAAUUGGACCAUAAAACCAUGUAUACCGGCCGCUUUUUGCAUGAACUGGAGGUAUAAAACUGGCGGUUGAACCUGUGCCACACACAAAAAUAGAAAAAAUAACCCGCAUCAAAGGAAAUUCAAACCCAGAAUGCUAGAUAUAUGUGCGUAAGUUGCACCUUUGGCCCAAUAACCACCUUGGCUAGCCAACUUUCUUAUCAAAUUUAAAUAAAUGAUUGUAUUUUACAUCUAUUUAGUACGACACCACUACACAAAAUGUAUUAUUUAUGGUAUAAAAACCAGACAUUGAACCGAUGAACCGAUGGUCCGACCGAUAAAAACCUGAACCGGAGGCUAGCCCGUUCGAUCACCGGUUCGGUUUUUUUAACUAGGCCUGCCAAUCUACACACGCGCCACUGUUUCCAAAUAGCUUUGCAACCAUGAAUCACCCUCUUACCGAAAAAGGUUUUGGCUCCACUUUAUAUAUAAAGCACCAAUCAACAAACACCCAGUACAAACAUACGCCCCGCCACCGUAACACACACACACACACACCCAGGACAUGAUACAUAGGUGCUGAGCGCAGCAACACCACCCCUAGCACUACCACCACGCAGAGAUGAAGCUACAUAUGACGAACCAUACGCUCCAAGGCGGCGCCUUCAGGAAGGGAACGACACCGGAGCGCCGCCACGGCCCGAUCCAAAGAUUAGAGCUUCCCCCGGAACCGCAUGACGGGCAAUGAGAGCCGCGAUGACGCCUUCAAGAAGGGAACGAUCUUUGCCGCCACCGGUCCGUCCGAAGAUAGAACAGGCUUUCACCUCGGCCACCACUCAUCGCCACCGAACGCCACACCCCGGUCACCACGCCGCCUACACAUCCAUGAUGACCGGGCAGCACCAAGGCACGGGCUCUGCCCACGAGCACCGCGCUACCACCACCAGGGCCGUCGCCCCAGCAUUCAAGACCUCGACACCACCUCACCCGUCGCACCCCAAGACGAGUGGAAAGGUCCCACCUUUCGCACCCCUGGGCAACCCCCAGCGUCGAGACCCAAAGGUCAGAUAAAACUGGCAUCCACCAACCCGUCCUGCUGCCCCGAGCGCGAGACGAACUCAUUCCUGCAGCAUCGAGAGGGGGACGAGGUCAGUCCUGCUGCACCGUGCGCGAGACGAGCUCCGUCCAGCCGCGUCGGGCGCGGAAUGAGCUCGGUCCUGCAGCACCGGGAUGCGAGACGGGCGGUGGACCGCAGCUGGGACCUGGGAGAGGACCAGCCCUUCGACGAAAGUAGCAACCGGACGCCGAGGAGAGGGAUCGAAGGCCGAAGCAGACCACCUGCACGUCCAUUGCAAUGUCGGCAUAGACCUGCCUAGUGGUGCUCGGGGCACCAAUGAAAGUCUAUAGUUUCCAAACGGUGAGCAGUGACAGGCUGUCGAAUCCUUUGCAUGCCGGGUUGGAGAGUACAUGCCGAGUGUGAGGCCACCAGUCGAACAACAUGUAAAUGGUCGGUGUGUGUGUGUGUGGUGAGCAAGACCGCAACGCCUCAGCGUGGCCACCAAACUUCACGAGAGAAAUGGUAGCCAACUGCAAGAUGGCCAGCCAUUUCCCUGGAGUUACUGCAGAGCACGCAGUUUCAAGCGAUGGAAAGGUUGUGGCGCUGCCCGCAAUCCGAGGCCCAUGACUUCCAGAUCAGCUUGGCGCGAAGAACACCUGGUAGGCAGGCCGUGGCAGCCAAAUACGGGCCGUCGCGGUCGUCCUCAUCCGGCAGGCAGACAUCUCGUAAGCGAUCGAGCAGAGCGAUGCUUUCAGAGAUGACCGGGACUAUAAGCACACCAGCCACGUCGCGCACCCAGACAUGCCCAGCUUGACGUACCGUCGUAACAUCACGCCUCGCCGGAUUUGUCGCUGCCAACAUCCUUCCUUGGGGCAAACGAGGCGAGGUCCAAGCCGUUCAACCAGCGAUUGCUCCGGAAUUUACAGUUGUCGCCAUUGCCAACCAGCACCACCGUGGAAGCACGGGGGAGUGCCUCGGUGUCGUCCUCGCGUGGGUCAUGAGGCCAGCCCAGCAGUUGUUGGGGUUUCCACGCUGCUACGCCCAGCGCAUACGCAUGUUAAAGGAGGCGGCCAGUCUCAUCAUCGUUGAGCUUGAUUCUUUUGUUGAAGACGUAAGAACGAAAUGGGUCAUCCUGACCGACUCGUCGACAUAGAGAAACUGCAUCGUGGAAACUGGUCCUGUCAAGCAAAAACAUAUCAUCUCUCCGCCGGUUAGACCAUUCUGCAUAAUGAACUGGACCCAUCAUUUGCCUCCCAUGCAAGUCCUUUUCGGUCCUUUCUGCAGCUCAAUGCUGUAAGUGACCCUAAGACACACUUCAGCCUAGUGUUGCAUGGGACAAUCUAUGCAACAAAUGCAAAAGAAAUAUACACUAGGUAAAUUGUAAAAGCACUAAAAUAAACACAAACGGUUACAAGUUUAUGGAAAAGAAUGUAUAUAGUUUGUUACCACUCAACUUGCAACCACGUGCCAAGUUUAUGGAGCCGUCAACUGCAAUUAGUCGUGCCACACGGCACAUCUUUGCCAGGUGCCGUGGCGGGAAUCUCGACAUACGCUUCAUAAGCCGAGUUGUUUCAUGUUUGCCGAGUACAUCCAGACGGGGGUUCGCAUACACCAAGUCAACUGAAUGAUGCACCUGCGCCUGGCUUGUUCUUGGUUCAUCGACCGGACCUGUGAAUGCGAUGCCCCCAAAUUCAUUACCGCCGGAGCCGGAGGGGACGGCUACUAGUGAUGGUGGGCCUACACCCUACUCCGUACGUCUUAAUCAUGCACGCCGGGGCGUACGUUCUCAUCUUUGUCGAUAUGCGUGCAUGCACACAAGUGUAGAUAGUACUACAUCACUCAGCCAGCAAACCAGCUGGCACGUCCCUUAAGGCUGGUUACAAUGUGGAGAAACUUAGGAAUAACAUCACACACUCCAAUACAACUUUGCUUAUGUGACACAUAUUUAAUGAAGAGAGAGGUGCUUGUAGUAACUAGCUAAGUUACCGGAACAUCACACACUCCAAGAAACAAUGAGUCUAUAACCUAAUAAAUACAUCGUUGCAUGACACUACAUAGAUGUUUCUACCCACUAUGGAGGUAGUAACAUAGUCUAGGGAAGCGUGUAAGUUACUACCUUAUGUUCUUGCCCAUUGUGACCAGCCUAAUUUCACUUCACUGCAUGCUUCACUCGCUCAGUGAUUAAUUGAGUAGCUCAGUGAUCAAUCAACCCCUGCCGGUGCCCCAAAUGCUAAGCGCUAAGCGCCACACGAUUAGAUGCGUGGCACUCCAGCCCUAAUGCUUUUCGAUGGCAAUUUCACACAUGAGGGUGCAUGGCAAACUCCAGUGACACACGUAGGGGCGGAGCUAUGUUGGGGCAAAACCAGGCCGUGGCCCGCCCAACGCAGCAUCAAACAGUGAAGAUUGAGGGUCCCAUAAAAGAAAGAAUUGUGACGUCAGCUUUAACCUCACAUGUUUGGCCCGCCCAUGAAAUUUCAUGUAACUCCGCCACUAGACACAAGGCAAGUUUCUGUCAAAAAUAAGAAGUUUAGUUAUUUUUACAAUUUAUUAGUUUUUCUCUGAGGGCCUUUUUAUAAGAAAACAACUAUUUUGGGGGGUUUUCCGCAAAACAAAGCCAGGCCACACGCCUUGUCCCUGACACCCUGGCGUGGCUCGUCCACGUCAUGAAUGCAUAAAACCGAGAUUUGAAUCAUCUAUACACGUCCAUGUCAAGUUAUGAAACCAAUUUAAUGUAUUUUGCAAGUUCAGGCAUCAAAAUGCACAUUCCUGGCAAGUUCAGACGUCAGUGAUGUAUUUACCUCUUUCUUUUUCUUCAUCUUUUGAUUUUCUUAGUAUCUUCCCAGUUAUCUUUAGUUCUUUUGUUUUUAUUUAUCUGUUUUGGGUUCGAUGAAGGCGGGGGAGCAUGUGCAUACUAGAUUGAUGCAUUUGAUGGUUUCUGAUCAUGGCACUGACCAUUGGCGGUUGCACUUUGACAAUGCUAUGAUUUUAUCGUAGCACCAUCCAAGUGCAAUCGCCACUUAUCAGUGACAGUUGCAAAUGACCAACGCAACGACCAAUGGUUAUUGUAAUUUUGCUCACUCUCAUCCACUAAACUGAUAAGGUUGUGAAGAUGGAAUGGGACACCGUCGGCAGAGGGGUGUAUGUCAUCACCGUCACCAAGGAUGCCGAGGACAUCAUCCCCAUCAACUGCUAGCUCGGGAGGGAGGUGGUGUCGGGCAGGGUUGCCGCCAUGAGCCAGCCGUUGGGCGUUGGCCGGAGGCCUAGGCUCGGCCACAAGGAGGGUGCACGGGAGUCGAUGGGUUCUACGUGCAGAUCAAGAACGAGGAAGAGAUCACCAUGCUGGUCAUCCCGCCUGCCUUUAGGACGGUGAUAAAGAAAUGGCUAGUCCUCAGCCCUCCUGGUGUCGUCAGCCUCUGCCAACAAGUGGUGUGAGUUUUGGGUGUAGGUCCGUACAUUUCAGGGGCAGAUGGUGCUCGGGAGCAGUUGAGACUACUUCUGUCGGCGUCACACAAUCAUCCACAGCGACUUGCUCGUCAUGUGGCUCUCCGGGCUAGGCUUGAUCGUCUGAACUUACUACAGAACUGUAUAUUUUGCUCAAGGUUCAACACCCUGGGGUCGUGCAGGGGCAAGGGAUGCCUUUGAUGUCUUAAACUAUGGUCUUAUUAGGUAUUAUGAACUAUUUAGCUGUUGUUCUUGUUUCUACUGUUAAUUUAUUAUGUUGUUCUUAUGUUAUGUAUGAUAUGAAGUGCUGCAUUUGUGUGGUAAGACUACCACGGGGUGAGCAAAACAGCUCUGCUUUGCAUACCAAUAUCACAAAUACAGGCAACUCAACCGUGCCCAAGACAAAAGAUGCAGGCAACCAAACACACCCCAGCUGAUCUAAUGGUUGCGAUUUGCCCAGGCAACCAAACACGCCCCAGUUGAUCUAAUGUUGGCAACUUGCCAUGUUGUGCACAUUCCUGAUGCUGCCUUCAACAAUCAACAAGUGCACCUUGAAAACUAUAGUCAGGAACUUCCUAUACCAUAAAGAUAGGCAUACUGUCGGAUAAUAUUUUUGAAGAACGGAACAUUUUGAUCAAGUAAAAGUAGAAACCACCUUAAAUUUAGGGAAGAAAAGCAACAGCUGCAAAUCGUAACAUAUAACCAUUCAAGAUACACAACUAGAAGAAGAUACUGUCUCCAAACUCCGUCCGGUGUUACAAGUCCAACGAUUCAAGAGCUAAUAAGUACACUAGAAAGAAUGGAAUGAAGGUGUAAGAUGUAGUAGGCCUAUGUAGAAGCAUGGACUCAAGGAUGGCGCGGCCAAGUUUGCGUCUCCAUUUGGGUAACACGGAUGGCGGCUGCCUGCAUUUCUA